UGAGAUCAAGGAGUUCUAACCUUGAUAAAUUUUGGAAAGACGAGAGGAGCUCUCCUGAAAGCUUGUUAUCGUUCAGAUGCAAUGAUUCGAGCCAUUGUAACUGGCCCAAGGACUUUGGUAUCAUCCCAGAUAAAUUGUUAUUUCCAAGGUCAAGAAUAAUUAGGCUAGAGCAAUUACCUAUGGUAUAAGGAAUGCUUCCAGUCAAAUUAUUCCUUGAAAAAUCAAUGACUUGAAGAGAGGUGAUGUGUCCUAUGGAAUCUGGGAUGGUCCCAGAUAAAUUGUUAUUUCCAAGGUCUAGAACAAUUAGGCUAAAGCAAUUAUUUAUGGUAGAAGGAAUGCUUCCAGUCAAAUUAUUCCCUGAAAAAUCAAUGACUCGAAGAGAGGUGAUGUGUCCUAUGGAAUCUGGGAUGGUCCCUGUUAUUUGAUUUUCCGAAAGCGAAAGGUAAUUCAAGUCUAACAUAGAUUCACCUCUGCUCAGUGGGAUAGGGCCAGAAAAUUUAUUGUGGGAGAGAUCUAGUGAAGAAACCCCUUUGAUUGAAAAAGGAAUAGGUCCUUCAAAGAGGUUGGAACUGAAAUCGAUUACAGCAUCACCAGAAGGAAAUUUUAAUGAAUUUGGUAGCUGACCUUGUAACUGAUUGUCAUAAAGUAUUAUGGUCUGCAGAUGAAAAGACAUAUUCCAAAACCACUUGGGUAUGGAACCUGAGAUGCUAGCAUUUGACAAAUACAGAUAGGAGACCUCCUUUUGAGACCUAAGCCAAGUCGGGAAUGAAGGGCCUAAAUUGCAUGAAGCCAUAAUCAGAUCAGCAAUUUGGAAUGGGGGGACCCAGGUGGAACAAACAUUCAAAACGAGACCUGAAUUUCCAUCCAUCAACAGAGUCUUCAACUUACUUAACUUUGAAAAAUGUUCUUCAGAAAGAAUUCCAGUCAAGCGAUUCCCAUAAACUUCCAAUACAACCAAUUCAGAAAGUUGUCCAAAACUAACUGGGAGACUCCCAUUCAGUUCAUUCCAUCCAAGCCGCAUCUCAUUCAGAUUUUUGAAUGUCCCAAAAGAAGCAGGGAUAGGGCCUUGAAGCUUAUUGUGGGAUAGAUCGAGAUAUGUAAGUUUUUCCAGUUGACUCAACUGUUCUGGCAAUCGGCCCACUAAUUGAUUCGAGGACAAGUCCAAAUACCCCAGUUCUGGUAAAGGACCUUCAGAACUGCAGUUUUUGAUCUCUUCGAGAAACUCAGAGAAACUUCCUGCAAUCAUCAUCAAGAGUAUUAAAAUAAUUUGUUUUUAAUAAAUUGUUUUAUGAAAAAUAAGAAAGUUCACGAGAAAGGUAAGAAACUUUGCCUUCUUAAUGCAUUAUCAAAUGAACGGAGAAAAUAUAAUUUAAAAUAUUUUUAGAAACAAGUGUCUGCAUGGAAUAAAUUGAGAAUAUUGUUUUUAGAAAUUAAAGUUUCCAAACAAAAUUUUGUUUCAAAAUAUAAUAUAAUAUUUGUAAAAAUUAUUAUAAAAAAACUCAAAUUUUGAUUUUGAAAAAAUAUUUUAAAAAGGUUUACAAGAAACAAAAUACAUUAUAAUAUUUGUAAAACUAUUAUAAAAAACUCAAAAAAUGAUUUUAGAAAACUAUUUUAAAAUUUGUUUACAACCAAAACCUAGAUUUUGUAGUGUAAUCUUUCAAAUACAUCAAAAGCCCUAAAAAGUCCCCUUUAUUGGUCAAUUGUGCAAUGAAUUUAUGACAAAUCAUGCAUCAUCAAGAGUAAAAAAUAAUUUAAUUUAAAAUAAUUUUCAAAAAAAAAGAGAGAGAGUUUAUGAGAAAAUAAUUUGAUGAGUGGUGAGAAGAUAAUUGAAGUUGCUUUGAUGGUUUAAUGAUAAAAGUAAGAGAUUAUUAGAAAGUCAGAAUAAUUUAAUGCAAAAUAUUUUUUAAAAACAAGUGUUAAACUGUAGAACCACUACUUAUUUUGAUGUAUCGAAAUCAAUAAGCAAUAAUAAUUUUUCUAAGCUAAAAAAGUACCAAGAAAUUUAUUGAUUGCCAAAUUCAGAAAUUCUAUCUUAUUCCAGCUUCCGCUUAACAGUUGAGAGCAACUACCUGUGAGAUUUUUGUUCCAAGAUAGAUCCAAGUGCUGCAAGUUAGGUAGUUCCCCAAGGCCAGGUGAAAUCUGCCCAUAUAACUGAUUAAAGCUUACAUCAAUGUAUACAAGGCUGCUAAGGUUUAGAAGCCAUAUUGGGAACUUUGACCGGAAAGAGUUGCCACUGAUGCUUAUGACAGAUAGUGAAGUAAAAUUGAUAGAGUUUAGAGAUGAAAUUGAACUAGAGAGCCCACAAUGUUGUAGGUGCAACUCUGUUAAAAAUGAAAGCUUGUUGAAUACCUCCAUCCAGUGAGAUCCUACCAUUGAUAGGUUGACAUAGUUCAACUUGAGAUGCCUUAAGGAAACAAGAUUAGUCAUCCAUUCAAGGUCCUUAACAAAUAACUGAGAUUCAAUGGAAGAAAGAUCAAGAAAUUGCAAAUUAGAAAGGUUUCCCAAGGUUGGAGGAAUUGCACCUCUGAAUCCACAAUUUGAUAAGUUUAGAUAUUGUAAAUUUUUCAAAGAUCCGAAGAAUUUAGGAAUUGGGAUAUUCUCAAAUGAGUUGCCACUCAAAUCUAAAGAUCUCAAAGAUUUGAGUUCUAUCAAAGAAGGUCGGAUCUCCCCGCUUAAGUUCAUUGAGCUCCAAUUUUCAUAUGCUUCUUCAAGAUAAUAUGGGUUAUGAAGAUUGAUUGAAAUAACAACUCCUGUGUUAUUUUCACAACCAAUUCCCUCCCAUUGACAACAAUUGCCUCCUAUCCAUGAUGAAAGCCGGUUGUUAGAAGAAUCUUUGAGACCAUUUUUGAAGUCAAGAAGAGCUUCUCGAUCAGCUUUUAAGCAAUUUCCCUCAAGGGUUUCACUCUUGCAAGCAAGAUCUCUUGUUAUUAAACAUAGAAUGACAAAAAGGAAACCAAGAAUUGAAAUUUUCUCCAUCCAAGAACACCUAUAAAAACAAGUAAUUAAUAUUAAGUUUCAAUAGAAGAAUCAAAAUAGUGAUGAAAUUUGAUAAGUAAUCAAAACUUCAAGUUAUUGGAUAUUAAAUAACACAUAUUUUAAUCAAUCAUAAGUUUAAUAAGAUUAAAACAUGUCAAAUGGAUGGCAUACUUGAACACAUAUCCAUAUCAAACAUGGUCUGAUGAUUGUUGCUUAUCAAAACUAUAGAAAUCACCCACAAGAGAAGCUUAGAAGCAUUAGGCAGAGGAAAACACUAGAGACAACUUGGCAUUAUUGGUAAAGUAAAACAAGACUAGUCAUCCAUUCAAGAUCAUUAACAUAUAAAUCAUAGGAUUCAAAAUUAAUAAAUAAAUCAAAAGAUUCAUGGCUAGAAAGAUCAAGAAAUUUCAAAUUAGAGAGGUUUCCCAAGCUAGGAGGAAUUGCACCACUAAACCCACAAUUUGAUAGGUUUAGAUAUUCUAAAUUUUUUAACUAUCCAAAGAAUUCAGGAAUUGAAAUAUGCUCAAAUAAGUUCCCACUCAAAUCUAAAUAUCUCAAGGAUUUGAGUUCUAUCAAUGAAGGCCUAAUCUCUCCACUCAAGUUCAUAGAAGUUUCAUUCUCAUAUGCUUCAUCGGGAGAAUGUGGGUUAUGAAGAUCAACUGAAAUAACAACUCCCAUUUUAUUUUCACAAUCAAUUCCCUCCCAUUGACAAUAAUCGAGCCCUCUCCAUGAUGAAAUCUGGUUGUUAGAACCUUUGAGACCAUUUUUGAAGUGAGUAAGAUCAUCUUUAUCAUUUUUUAAGCAAUUUCCCAAAAUGGUCUCACCUUAACAAGUAAGUUCUCUUUUUAUUAAACAUAGAAUGAUUGAGAAUUGAAAUUUUCUCUAUCUAGGAACACCUGUAGAAACAAGUAAAAUUAAGUUCCAACACAACAAGAAAAAUAGUGACAAAAUUCAAUUAGUAAUGGAAACAAGACAUUAGACAAUUAAUAACAUAUUUAAUUUAACUAGUCAUUUGUUUAAUAAGAUUAAAAAUUCCCAAGUAAACAACAUAUUUGAAUACAUGUCAAAGAAAAUAUAAUUGAAAUCAUCCCAACAAAUAUCAAAUAUGCUUUGAUGAUUGCUAUUGAUCAUACAUUCCAACUGUAGAAAUCACCUACAAAAAAAAAAAACUUGAAGCAUUAGAUAGCGAGAAACACUGUAAAUAACUUGGCAUUAUUAGUGGAGUAGGAUGUUACCAAUUUUUUAUUUUUUCUUUCUGGUGUAGUCAUUCCUUUAGAUGCAGAGACAUAUAUAGAAGAUAAUUCAACUAGAAACCAUGUGGAUGAUAGUGAUAGACUCCUUUCCUUUCUUUUUAGCAAUAUUUUUAAAAAUAGACUAGACCAACCAAUUGAACCGAUUCAAUUGUUGACCAAUUCACUUUCCAAUUCAGGUGACCUUUACCAACCAUUUUGGGCUUAAAACGGUGGGAAACCAAUUACUACUACUUGAUUAUGAUCAAAUUGUGUAUAUGAAGUAAAAAAGCUGAAUUUGUAACUAUUUUUCUAAAAAGUUUUUGCCAAGAAAAAAUAUUUAAGUGAUGUUUGUUUUUUUAACUUAAUAUAAAAUGCAAUUUAAUUUCGAACUUCAACUAUUUGUUUUAAUUUUUUUUUCCAACUUUUAACUUAUUUAUCAAUAUUUUUAAUUAAAUAGAAAAAACUAAAAUAUGUAACUUUUUACUUAAUUUAAAAAGUUAACUGAUUCAUACUUUUAACCCCUCCAACCUAACUCACAUUGUGAAAAAAUAAUUAAAUUAAUACUUAAUACUUUUAAGUUGUAUUUAAAAUUAAGCUAAAUUAAGUUCUAUUUAUAUGUAACUAAAAAAAACUCCAUCUUAAUCUAUUAGCUCUUAAUUUAAAAAAAAAAAAAAAAAUACUUAAUCUAUCAUGUUGAACCAAACUUUAACUUUGCAUGAUGUCAAUAAUAAUAAUAAUAAUAAUAUGCACAUAUAAAUGAUAAAGUCAUUACCUCUAUGAAUUGGGUCAUGGAAAAAUCUUCCUCAAAAUAUCACAAUCUUCAUGUUGUCUUAUCAAUAUGUAUACAAGUAAAACCAAUAAGUUUAUAAGUAAUGUUUCACAAUCUUAUAAAAAAUUAAGGGGAAAAAAAUAAAAUAAUCAAUAACACAUCAAAAAACAAUUUUAGCAUACCACCCCAAAAUAAAUAAAAUCUCUUAAAAAUUUGAAAAUUUCUAUUAUAAGGUUAUUAUUUCGGAUAGAAUGACCAUGCCCAUCAAAGUUGGGUUUGCACUAAUCCAAUCCAAUCAAUCAAAUCAACUAUUUAAAGUAAUCCAAAAAUUGUGGCCACUUUUUAAAGGCACUUUCGUCAUGUCAUGUCAAGGGAAAUUUAAGGACAUUAUUUUCCUCAUUCAUUUAUUCAAGGUUUAUGUCGUGUGUACCAAGGUGGCCAUUUUUUCUUCAAUCAUUUUUAAUAUAUUUUCUUUCAUAUCUUGCUACCUUAUCAAGAAAAUUUUGCAUUAGCUUGACUUUGACUCCAUGCUUGGGUCGUCUAGAUUAGGGCCCUAUAAUUGUCUAUGACUUGUCAAUUACAUUUUAAAUUUUAUAGGACUUCGAUGAAUAUUUGAAAAUAAUAGAUAUUUUAUAUAUUUUAAUUUUUGUUGAAAAUAAUUUUUUUUUGGUAAAAAGAAUUUUACACUACCAAUUCAUUUCCUCACAUGGAAGUGCUGGGAAAAAUUUUUAAAUUACCUAAUCCAUUUGGUGCUUUUACAAAGUAUAUGAACUAGUUGUGCUUCGAUGAAUCAAUUGCUUUAGAUUAAUUAAUUUUCAACCAACUGAAUUAUACAUUUAGAUAUAAGGUAAUUUGGGUAAGUAACAUUUAAUAACUUCAUAAUUUCUUUAUUUAAAUCUUAUAAAAUAUUUGAGAAGAAAAUAAAAAAGUUACAAAUUAAAACCGCAAUGAAAAAUAAUAAGAAAAAAAAUAAACAAUAAGAAAACAAACACAUAAAACACGAUUGAUGUAGUUUGCCCUAAAGCCUACAUUCACAAAUGAAGAUAAAAAAAAAAACUUCCAAUAUUGUUUAAGAAGAUUAUAAUCUAACUCUUAAAUCCUAAAGUCUAAACUAAUUAUACCAAGAAAAAUGAUUAUUUCUUAUUCGUUAAAAUGUCUUCUCAUAUUUUCUUGAUUGGAAUAUUUAAUAUAAGGAACUAAUUAUCUAAUUAUUAGAUCUACAUAAUAUUUGUAGAGAUAUUACUAUUAAUUUUCCUUAUUCUAUAAAAGGAAUCUAAUUAUAAUCACAUGAUAUGAAUUUAUGAAAUAUUUUAUAUAAAGUGGUGAGGAAUAUAUGUGGUAGACAGAGAUAUGAGAAAGAGUGAGAGAUACUUGGUGGAGUUAUAGAGGGCUCAUUAGGGUGUAGAUGUGAGAAAGAGUAAAGAAUAUUUGGUGGAGUAAAAUGACUCAUGGUUCAAGGUGGGGAAAUAAAGCGUAGGGAAACUUAAGAUGUUUUGACACCCAAUAGUUGUAUCUAUUUCUAUUCUCUGUACUCUUUUACAUGACAUAGUAGAAUGUUAUUUCUCAUCUAUUAAGGUAGGCAUGGUUGGUCGAACCUUUGUGUGUGGUUUGCUUUAUUUUUAAAUUUUUAUUUAACACAUCUAUAUUGAAGUUGUUGUUGGCCCAAUAAGUGAUAUCAAAGCUUCCGAUGACAUAACAAAUAUUUGUUGGGAAAAUUGAAACACCUAAAUACAAAAAGAAAAAAAAAAAGUGAAAAAAAAAAAAGACAAAAUAUUUACCUAGUUCAAGAUAAUCGCCUACAUCCAUGGGAAAGAAAGAUCAAAUUAAUUAAUAAACUUUACACACUUCAAACUCUCUCGACCUUUCUUUAUCAAAAACUCAUACAACUUUUGACUAUCUCUAUUCACUCCUUGCUCACUUUUUCCUUCUAUUUUAAAAUAAUAUAUAAAACCACAUAUCUAUAAAGUCCUAAUCUUGAUCAAGCUUAAAAGGGUAUUUUACCCAAAUACAAACUCUACAAAUAUUAAAUUUUCUCAAAAUAAAUAUAUAACUAAAUAAAUUGAGUCUAUAUAUAUUAAAAGACUUUUUUUUCUUCUAAACCCAAGAGACCAAGUCCCCCGAAAGGAGUAGAUAUCAUUUUAUUGAAUUUUCAUGGGCCAAACAUAACUUGCUUGUACAGGAAGGUAGAAAAUUUAUGACAAUGAAGAAUUUUCCACAUUUCUUUUCAUUGAAUUCCACAUCCAUAACAAAUGAAGACAUUUUUGUCAUGUCAUGUUAAGGUAAAUUUAAGGAUAUUAUUUUCUUCAUUCAUUUAUUCAAGGUUUAUGCUGUGUCUACCAAGGUGACCAUUUUUUCUUCAAUUUUCUGUCAUGUCCUGCUACCUUAUCAAGAAAAUUUUGCAUUAGCAUGACUUUGACUCUAUGUUUGGGUCAUCUGGAUUGGGGCCUUGUAAUCGCUUGUGACUCAAAAAAUACAAAAAUAAAGACUUAGAAACUCAUGUCAACAAAUUUUAACAAACCACUCCAUAAUAUAUGAAAUUUCUUAAAAAUUGUAUUUUUGUAAUAAUAGUUCUAAGCUUUUUUCCCCUUUAUUUUAAGAAACAUUUGAAAGUGUCAAUUGCAUUUUAAAUUUUGCAGGACUUUGAUGAGUAUUUGUAAAUAAUAGAUAUUUUAUAUAUUUGAAUUUUUAUUGAAAAUAAAUUUAUUUUGGUAAAAGGAAUUUUACACUAGUAAUUCAUUUCCUCACAUGGAAGUGCUAGAAAAAAUUUAAAAAUUACCUAAUCCAUAUGGUGCUUUUACAAAGUAUAUAUGAUUUAGUUGUACUUCAAUGAAUCAAUUGCUUUGGAUUAAUUAAUUUUCAACCAACUGAAUUAUACAUUUAGAUAUAAUGUAAUUUGGGUAACUAACAUUUAAUAGCUUCAUAAUUUCUUUAUUUAAAUCUUAUAAAUUAUAUAUAUAUAUAUAUAUAUAUAUAAACUUAUUAUAAACAAGUUGGAAGCAUAUGCUCAUUCAAGCCUUCAUUUUUCCUUUUCGAUUUGCUAUAAAGUUGAUUUUCUUUCCUAAAGAAUUAAAUAUUUUAGAAAAUUUUGAAAAGAAAUAAAAGAAGUUAUAAAUUAAAACCACAAUAAAAAAUAAUAAGAAAAAUAAAAUAAUAAAAAAACAAAAACAAAAAACACGUAAAACAUGUAAAACACGAGUUAUGUAGUUUGCCCUAAAGCCUACAUUCACAAACUUAACAAAGAUAAAAAUGAACUUUUACUAUUAUUUAAAAAGAUUAUAAUCCUAUAACUCUUAAAUCCUAAAGUCUAAAUUAAUUAUACCUAGAAAAAUAUUUUUUUCUUAUUAUCUAAAAUGUUUUCUCAUAUUUUCUUGAUUAUAUUGGAAUAUUUAAUAUAAGGAAUUAAUUGUCUAAUUAUGAGAGAUACCUAAGAUAUUUUCAUUAUAAUUUGCAUGAAAAAGCCCUAUAAUAUUAUACUAUAAAUGUAAAAAUCCACAAUAAUAAAUCAUAUUAAAAGCCUCACUACAUCCAUAACAUCAAUUUUUGAAAUUAUUUUAAAAUAUAUACAAAAUCGAACUUCCAAUCGCAUCAAACAAACUCGUAAAUAUUUCUCUCUCCUACCUUCUUAAAAUUUUUGGUCUACGCUUGUCACCAUGUCAAGUCAAAAUCAUGUUUAAUUUUUAGCCAAACAGAAAAAGACUUGACCCACUAUCUUCACUUAAACGUUAAGUUUUAAUGGAGACAGAUGAAUUAUGGGCUACAGAACAUAUUUCUUCAUCUUGAUGAGUUGUAGGUCAUGAACCAAGUUGCUUGAAAAGGAUGGUAGAGGACUGACAUAUUUCCUCACAAGAGCCCUAUAAUAUUAUAUCUUGAUGACUUCCAGCAAGUCAAUACCACUUUCCCCACAAGAAGUCUUCAAUGGGUCGAAAUUCAAAAUAAAUGAUUCAUCUAAUGUGAUGGAAAUAAGAAUAAUUUGCAUGCAUUUCUUUUACUUUAUUUAUUUGGCAUAUCAUAACUCAAACUGUUUUUUUUUUUUUUUUUUUUUAUCAACUUACUGUUGUACUAUUCAUUUAGUUUAUCUUAUACAAAUAUAUACACUAAAUAUAAUAAUUUCAUAAAUAAAAAAGUCACCACCCAAAAUAUAUAAAAAAAAUUAAUGUUUAUUUCUAAUUUAUUUUUAAUUUAUAUUAUCAAAAUUGCUAAGCUUUGGAAAAUUUGAUUAAAUUACAAAGUCAAAAAACUAUUGAAAAAAUCUAAUUACAAAAAAUAUUAAAAAUAAAUUCCAAGGGAUAUAAAGACAAAUAAAAAAAAGAAAAAAAAAUGAGGACUUUUCCUAAAUUGUCGAAAUCCAAAACUCAAAUCUCAAUUUUUUGCAUCAAACAUUAACAAAAGUUAGUUUUUAUUACUUAUUAAUGUAAAACUUGAUUAACAUAUUGUAAAAAUAAAAAGAAAAAUAGUUGUUAAAGUAAAUUUGUAAAAGUAUAUUGAAAAUAAAACAAACUCUCUCUACACUCCUACUUCAUCUAAAUUCUUGAAACCCCUGGUUUCUCUACGAUCUUUGCAAAUAUAAAGCUAAUCAUCUCUCCGAAUCCAUGACAGACAAAGACUUUAACUAAACAGUUCAACUCCCCAUUUGUGCUAUGCAAUUUUAUUUGCUUAUGUUCUAAAGGGUCGUAUUUGGUUAUUGAGUUUUUUUUGUUUGGUGGAUAAGAAAACAAAAAGAUGGUUAAAAAAUUGAAAUUUAAGGACCAUUAAAGAAUCAAAUUUAUGUAAAUUAGGUGUAACUGUUGGUUAAAAAAGAUGGCAUUGCCUACUAUAUAAUGACUCCUUUAAACAAGUCUCACAUCAAGCAUCUUCUCGGGGUAUGCUUUUAGAAUACAGUUAACGUAUUUUUAGUUGUUUUUGUACAAUGUUGUGAGCAUUGAUUAAAAAGAUGAAACGAAAAUUUUUACAUUGUACUUAAGUGUCCAAUACUUCGAUGAAAAAUAAGUUAAGAAAAAUAAUUUUCACAGCAGAAUUUUGUUUCUAAAAAUAAUUAUCAAUUAUUUUUAAGAACGUAGAAUUGUUUUCAAAUACAUUGUUAAAUAGACCCUAAUUUUUUUACCUUUUAAGCAAAGUCAUACUCAAUAACCAAUAAUGACUUGUUCAUUUUUUUAGCACCCUUUCUUCUUCCAUUAUUUCAACAUUUUCAGCCUCCUUGCCUUGCUUCAUUUAACAUCCCCUCCUCUUCAUAUCGAUAUAUUGCUCUUUCUACUGCUUCUUUUUAACCAUAUUCUUGUACUGAUUUAACUUACACUCCCCCCUCUUCAAUUAUUACUUCUUCUAGCACUACAUUAGUUUCAUUAUCUAUCAAUCUUUCAAUAAUUUCAAGUGUCGGUUCCUUAUAAACACAUUGGUAUUUGACUCUAAUUUUUUAUUUUUUAUUUUUAGGAGAGUCAAUAUUUGUAUAGUUUGUGUUUGGGCAAAUUAUGGUUUUGAAUUUGACUAGAAUUAGGAAACUAUUAGUUUAGGGUUUAGCCAAUAGAAAUUUAUAAAUAUGUGAUUCUACAUGAGAUUUCCACAAAAGAGCAAAAAAAAGUGAGCAAAGAAUGGAGAGAGAUGGUGUAUUAGAUUUUGUGUAAAGAGAGGUUAAGAGAGUUUGAGUUUGUAUUUUUGAAAUUUAUUAAUAAAUUUGAUCUCCCUUUCUAGUGGACCUAGGCGAUUAAGUCGAAUUGUAUAAGAGAGUGUUGUGAUUUUCCUAACAAUUGUAUCGAAGCUUUCAUUUUCUUAAAAAGUGAUAUCAAAGCUCCUAUUUUCCCAACAAGCUAACAUCAAAACUUUUGUUUUCUCAACAAGUAGUAUAUGAUAAACAUCAAAAGUCUUCACCAGAAUAGCAACUGAUUUGUUAGAUAGUUACCCUUAGUUAGAUAGGUUGUUGAACCAAUAGUUUGUUAAAUCAUUUUUUAAAUAGCUUGUAUAAAUAGCUUGAUAACAAAAGUUCUUGGAGCGUUCUUCUUGGUUGAUAAUCUUUUAUGGUAUUAAAGUCGAGUUUUUCCCUUUCAUCAUUUCUAGAUUUGCUUUCUUCCUUCUUGUUGGCCUGAUUAUAGUCGUUCUCUUCUCUCAAAGAACACACACCAUCAUAGGGCUACUUUAACCUAAUUUUCCAAUCCAUAAAACACUUUGGACAUAACUUCCUCACAAUCUCUUAGCUUGAUUCAACUGUUGCAUAUGUUGAAUCAUCCUCUUCCUAUCAAACUAAAUAGGAGUAGUUACAUUAUCUAGUGGAGAAUAUGAUCUUUGACAAUGGGUUUGAACUUGGCGACAUUUUUAUUGCAUCAUCCUGAGUUGGAUCUACACUUUCCUUACUCCCGAAAUUAUGGGACAAAUAAUUGGAUAUCAUACUUCUCAUGCAACAUGGACUGCUCUAGAGAAGAUCUCCACCUCAUCAAAAGCAUAAGCAAUGUAGCUUCAGUUAGAAUUUCAAACAACUUGGAAAGGCUCCCUCCAUGAUGGAAUACAUACUCAAGUUGAAGAUGCUCAUUGAUUAACCUUGCUACCAUUGGAGAGUAGGUAUAAAAAAGAAACCAAAUCUUGAAACUUCUUGGUGACCUUGAAACAGAUUACAACUCCAUAGUUGCAUCCCUUAUAGCUCGUGAAGAUGAUAUACCCCUGCAUUAGUUUACAACAUUUUACUCACCUCUGAACAAACACUCAACUUUUGGAGUUUAGUAAUAGAAAACGAAGUUAUCUCCACUCAUAUAGCCACACAAGGACAAUUUGCUCACCCAAGAAGAUACCAAAAUGGGGAAACUAACUCCAAUUUCAGCAACCAAAUUAGCUCCCACCAUCAUCAAGGAAGAGGAUGUUCAGGUGGCCAUGGGCAAGAUCAUUGAACAAAUCUUAGUGGCAAUGGUACUAAACCUCAAUGCCAACUUUGUGGAAAAAUCAUAGGUUUGAUAUAAAUUUUCAAGGACCUAAUCCCUUGCCUAUAAACCUUCAUCAAGCACUCCUAAUAGCAAUGAUAUACAAAUGAUGAUGGUCUUUCCUUUAAUCUACAAUAUCUUGGUUUCUUGACAAUAUUAGCCUAAACCCUAAAUCCCUAAACCCUAAACCCCAAACCCUAAAACCCUAAGCCUUAAACUCUAAAACCCUAAACCCUAAACCCUAAACCCUAAACCCUAAACCCUAAAUCUUAAACCUAAACCUUGAAACCCUAAACCCUAAACCCUAAAUCCUAAACCCUGAAAUCCUAAACCUUAAACCAUAAACCUUAAACCUUAAACCCUAAACCCUAAACCUUAAACUCUUAAACAGUAAACCGUAAAACCCUAAACCUUAAACCAUCAAUCCUAAACCCGAAAACCCUAAACCCUAAACCUUAUACUCUAAAACCCUAAACCCUAAAACCCUAAAUCCUAAACCCUAAACCCCAAGCCCUAAAACCUAAACCCUAAAAUCCUAAACCUAAAUACUUAAACCCUAAACCCUAAACUCUAAAACCCUAAACCCUAAAACCAUAUACCCUAAACCCCAAAACCUUAAACCUAAAAUCUUAAACCCUAAACCCUGAAACCCUAAACCCUAAACCAUAAACUCUAAACCCUGAAACCCUAAACCCUAAACCCUUAAACCCUAAAUUGUAAAACCCUAAACCCUAAACCAUCAAUCCUAAACCCGAAAACCCUAAACCCUAAACCCUAAAACCCUAAACCCUAGGGCGACACACCAUCUCUCCCUAAGUGAUAAUACUCUCAUAAACACUCAUCCAUACCACGACAAUUGCAAAGUCAUAGUUGGAAAUGGCAAGAAAUUAUCCGUCUCACAUGUUGGCUCCAAGUCAUUUCAAACUCCUCACAAGUCCUUUUAGUUACGAAGCAUUCUUCAUUUUGCUACAAAUCUUAUUAGUGUUUCUAAAUUUUGCACUAACAACAAUUUAUUUUUGGAAUUUCAUCCUACUUUAUUUCUUAUUAAAUACUGGAAUACAAAGAAGAUUCUUCUUCAAGGAAACAUUGAGCAUAGCUUGUACAAAUUCCCCAAUAACCACAUUGGUACGUCUUUAACAUCCUUUCAUUCUAGGCACUUAGCUCUCAUUAGAUAAUAAAAUAAGAAUGAGCUAAUCAACUGAUGAAUUCAACAACCAUCUUAUUAAAGAAUAUAUACAAUUACCCAAAUAGUGUGAUGGUCAGAUAGGACAGUCUAAUGGAAGAUGGUGACAACCUCUCUUUUCUUAACAUAAAGCAUAAUAAUUCCAAGUCCAGGAUACUUUUCUUCUAAUAAAGUGCUUGCUUUAAACUUUCCUUUUGAUAAUGUUUUUGCUUUAAAGUUUAGUUAUUUUUAGAGUCAUGUGGUCUUGUCCUCUUAUACAAAAUCUUUUUCUUACCCAAUUACAAAAAAUGAUAUGAGAUAAUGAAUUAAGAAUGAACUAAUCCAAUUAUGGAUCAACAACCAUUUUAUUAUAUAUAUAUAUAUAUAUAUAUAUAUAUAUAUAUAUAUAUAUAUAUAUAUAUAUAUAUAACCAAUUCUAAUCACCUAAUUACCUAGAUAAUGUGAGAGUUAUAGCAAAAGUAAUUCAUUUAAUGUUAAACUUGAUUGACAAUUAAUAAUCCUUCUAUAAAUUACCUUUUAAAUUAGUUAUAUAUUAAUUAACAUAUUUUUCUAUCUUAAUUUAUAAAAAGCUACUUAAUCAAUUUCACUAACUCCACCUAAAAAAAUACUAUUUUAAGUUACAAGAGAGUUUGAAUUAAUGAUUAUCAAUUCUUUUAUAUUUCAUCCAAGUUGUUGAGUCAUUACAUCUAGCCCCCUACAAGAUUGAAUGAUCUUAGAAUUAGUAUUUGAUUAUGAAUUAAAUAUUUUUAAAUUUGAUUCUUAAAAAUUUGCUCUAUUAAGCUAAUAAUUUGAUCAAAACUAUAAGGAAGUUGGGUUAAGACUAUAAUAUUUCACUUAAGUGGUUCCUCCUCUAGACUGAAGUGGAAUAACUUUCUAUUUGUUAGGAGAUCAAAGAAUUUGAUUAAGAUUUAAGAAUCCAAACUUCCAAUUGAUAGAGAUUCUACAGGAGUCCUAGUUUUAGGUAAAUAAGAAAGGGAGAGUUUCAUGAAAGUCUGACAGUUGGUUGCACCAAAUUUUUGGUAUUGUUUUAGAUUUAUAAGGUUGUUCUAUUGGAUUCAUCAAACCAUUGUGUAGAUCUACUAACAAAAGGGAGAGCCAAUUGAUCUCUUUAAUUUGUUGGAUAUUUCUACCUUUUAAAUUUUGAGUCCAUAGUUGGUAAAUAAUAGUUGUGCAUUUCCACCAAUAUUUAGAUUUUUUUAUUUUUCUUUUUUAACUUUUGAUCAAAGUUAUGUAGUGGUUGUAUUUUUUGGCAAGAUCUCUUAUGCAUGAGUAAUCCAACUUCGGUGAUAUUUUAAGUUACCAACCAUGCUAAAAUCUUCAAAGGACUCAAUGUUGAGGUGUAUUGGCUAUAAGGGAUUGAGAAUAAAGGUAAAAUGCCAUGUGGAAGAGAUGAAUCAAAUCCUAACAAAAGUGGGAUUUGAUUUAUAUGAGAAUAAAUUUUGUAUUCUAUACUCAUUCCAAAAAAUAAUAUAUUCAAAUAUAAAAUGAAUGGAAAAUGAAAUAAAUUUUUCAAAAGAGUGGUAUCUUGAUGGACUAGAGUUCUUUGUUUCAUAAAUUUUUUCUUUCACAAGUUGCCAACAACAAAUGCAAGCCAUCGGCUAGCCUUAUACAGUCUAAGUAAGGUUUUGGCUCGUUCGAGGGUUGACUCGAUCAAGAAUAAUCAACCUAGUAGUUAGAUCAAUUAACCAAUUGAACCAAUUGGGUUUGGAAUGAGUGUUGAUUGUUUUUCCUAUAACUUCAAAAUAACAUAUCAUUUUGCUCCCAUCCUAGACCCAAAAGUUGAAAUUUAGAUAAAAUUUUGGGAAAAGUCCAAAUAAAUAGAGAUGAUGUUGGAAUAAUGAUAAAUUUUAAUUUUUAUAUUUAUAUCUAGUUAUUUAAUUAUUUUAUAUUAUUUAAAAAAAAUUCUUAUUCAAUAACCAAUUCAACUUUAAAAACAUUGAUAUGUACACCUCCAUGAUUUUGAUAUUCAAUGGAGUUUAUUUUAUUCUUGUUGCCACUUUUGCCAUCAAGUAGGAUUCUUAUGAGAAAACAUUUUUGGAUUGACUUUUGAAAAUUAGUUAUGGUUUUAAGUCUAAUAAGAAAACAUGUUCAAUUAAUUUUAGAAGAAAUAUGUAGGAUCUUUCUAAAAAAAAGUACUAUUCGAUACCAUAGCGAAAAGCACCAUCCUAUUAGAGACAAGAAAGUCUUAUUCCUUUAUACCAUAAAUGAACCAAAAAAAAGUCUUAUUGCUUUGUGUCUUAAAAAUAAUCUCUUUUUUCUUUUCUAAAUCAAAGUCUCAUUUUUUAUUUUUUUAUUUUUUACCUUCAUCAUCGAAAAUUCCCAUACCAUUCAAUACUUUAGCAUUUUGAAAGCAAAGACAAAUGCUUUCCAUAAGAAGCCUCUUCUAAAAAUUUACCUAAAUAUUUUUUCCUCAAUACUUUCUAUAACCUAAACCAAGCCUUUAGGUUUUGAAUUCUAUAGACCCUAACAAAGGAAUAAAAUUUUCCCUCAUGGUUCCUAUGAUUCAUAUUGAGUCUUAGGUUUUCAAUUUCUAAAAAUCCUAAUGAGGGAAAAAAGUUUUGAAUUAGAAGGGGUUUAAAUUUCCUAAAAACCCUAAUGAGGGAACAAAGUGUCAAGCUAGAAAGGAAGAAACUUGUUCCCUUGUUCUUUCUAUGACCUAAACCAAGCUUUUGAGUUUCAAUUUCCAAAAGCCAUGAGGGAACACGGUUUUCCCCCAUAGUUUCUAUGAUCCAAAUUGAACUUUGUGGUUUCAAUUUCCAGAAACCCUAAUAAGAAAACAAUGUAUCAAGUUGGAAAUGAAGAAAGCUUGUUCUCUCACUUUCUACUAUACAAACUAAAUCUUAGGCUAUGUUCAGUUCUUAAAAUAUGUCAAAAAAAUGUUUAAAAAAAAUUAUUUUCUCAUGGUUGAUUGUAUCGUGGAAAAUACUCAAAGAAAGAUUAAAUAUAAUUAAUUAAAAACUUAUGCAUCUUUUAAUCAUUUAAUUUUUAUGAGUUUGAAAUAACAUAUAAAAAUCAUUUAUUAAUUUUAAAUUUAUUUUGUUAUUUUCUUUCACGUUUUUUUUUCUUCUACACUUUUUUUUUCCUUCAAAGAACCAAACAUAACCUUUAGGUUUCAAAUUUUAGAAACUUUAACAAGGAAAUAAAGUUUUCCCUCGGUUUCUAAUUUCUAUGAUCCAAACCAACUCUCUAGAUUUUGAUUCCUAAAACCACAAUGACCGAACAAAAUGUGAAGUUGAAAAGGGAAGAAACUUUAUUACUUCGAACUCUUUAUGACCGGAACCAAACAUUCGGUUUUCCUUUCCUAAAAACCCUUAUGAGUGAUACAAAGAUUUGAAUCCUCAAGUUUUUUGGAAACAAACAUAACCUUAGAGUUUCAAAUUUUAAAAACCUAUACGAGGGAACAAAGGUUUCCCUCAUAGUUCCUAAUUUCCAUGAUCCAAACCAACUCUCAAGAAAAUGACGAGUUGAAAGGGAAGAAACUUCAUUAUUUCGUACUGCCCAUGACCAGAACCAAACCUUCGGUUUCCAUUUACAAAAGACCUAAUGAGAGCGAGCCUUAGGAUUUCAAUUUCCAAAUAUCCUAAUGAGGGAACAAAGUGUAAAGUUGGAAAGGGCUCUCUCAUCCAACAAUUUUAAAUGCCAAGGCAGGCAAAGAAAACUAUCAUUUAAUUGCGAAGAAACAAGGAGUACAAGAGAGCACACACGGUUCAAGCCAAGCCUUCUUCAAUUACAAUAUCUAGCCCAUCUGAGCAUGCUCCUAUAUGAGCUUUAACGACUGAAUCCUAUUGCGUUAAAAGAGUAAUAAAUCCUUUAAUAACCGCCCAAAAACAUGAGAAUUACACACGGUAUCAGAAAAUCAGAUGAAAUUGUAUAACUCAUCCGAAUAAACCCCUUCAAAUAAUAAAACUAAGCAAAAUAGUCUAUACCCUAUGUUACAUACCGAUGGCUUUCAUAAUAAAGGGCACUGUAGCUUUACUAGAAUACAACAUUCUCACAAGCCCAGAUUGAGUGGAACUAGGGCCAACAUUAUUGAGCUGAAUGUAGGAGGCCCUUGGUUGAUUUUCAAAAGCUAUGGUAUUGAACUCCUAGGCUCUUCACCUAAUUAGAGCCUGAAAAUUUGGAAAGGGGUUCCGCCAAAAAAAUUUCUAAAAGAGGAAAAGAAUCCUAAUCAUCAACUCACCGACCUUCCUUCCUGCCAUGCAACCUAUAGAAUUGUCAUGACGAGUCAUGAUUCCUAUUGGGUGGGCUUCGGUGUUGAAAACCCACUCAUCUAAUGAAAUGACUGACGAAGGUGAGAAAAGAAGAUAGAGAUAUUUGAGUGUCUCAGCAAGGAAGAAGCUUUGCAUCAUAUUGUCUUUGACGUCUCUAUUUACCUGUGAAUACCCAGAACCAGCAGAGUAAGCAAAGAGCACAGAUGUAGCAGUAAACAAAAGAAAGUAACAAUGAAAGAAAAUGAUAACCAGCACAGCCAAGAGUGUUUAGGAUUAGAUAAAAUACAUAAUCAGUGAGCACAUUUAUUUCAGUGUAAAACCACCACACCUGCUGGGCUGGCAACUGUCAUUCAUGAUUGAAACUUAUCUAGUAAUAAUAGAUAACUUCUAAAUAGGUUUUUCAUAUUAAUAAAAAUUAUAAAAACUCACUCAAUCUACAAAUAUUCUAAGAUUUCAUUGUGUUAUUUGUUCAGGGUAACAAGUAAUGAGAGAUAUGUUCUAAGAUUUCAGGAAUCAAAGUUCAAAAGUAAAUACUAAAAAUGCAAAUCAGCCAGUCUGAAGUAGGGAUUAGUGAGUUUGAAGAGUGUACUUACAUCCUUCAGUCCAACAUAUCCUGACUCUAUGCGGGAGUUCUUUUCAAAUGCUUGAAAUAUGUUCCAACCCCACUCUUGGUAUGUCUUGCUGCCAGUUAAACGCCAGAGGUAAAACAGUGAUUCAACUGUCUCGGGCCUCAAUAUGUUCCAUGAUGUACCCACACUCAUAUCCUGUAAAUGUUUUAGAUGGAAAUGAGAUUGAGCAGUAAAAGAAAUAACUAGUAUAUAAAAAGAAAAGAGAAAAACUAACCUGCCCAGAGUGGAAGAAAUAGUUCUCUCCAGCCAAUUUUGUUGGUGUUGACUGGUAGAAAUUAUAGCAUGUCCAGGCAAGCUGCAAAAAAUAGGCCAAGCAAUUCACUCAUAGGAACCACAUGAAAAGCAUCCAAAUGCUGGAAAAGUAAGAGAAAACUCAGGGAGGGCAGAAGGAAUCAUUACAAUUCCUUCCCUUAGAACUGCGUGUGAAAUUUUCAUCUCAUAUGGCUCUUUCAUUAUAUGCAAAAUGAUAAUAUUACAUGGAAUAAAUAAAAAAUUGAAAUACUAUCAUUAUAAACCGGGUACGGCUUGUGAUUUUACAAGAAGCCUCUAGCUUAUGAAGUUCUUAAUGUCAUGGGAACAUCAAAAAAAUCAGUGGCUAGUGCUAAUGGAGACCAAAAAAAUGCUGCAAUGGCAAAUAUGUUCAAGGAGCUAAACAACUACUAAAGCUUAAGCUCUAGAUGGGUAUUAAAGCUUAAGGUCAAAACAUUUUCCUAUCAAGCACAAAAUAUCAGAAAUGGUAUGAAGAGAAUUUAAAAAUACCUCUUCGGCAAGGGAUAGGAAUUUCUGAGAUUCUUCAGGACCAUAACCAAGUGAUCCUAAAGCAAUCAUUCCUGGGGCAAAGCAUGCUAAUCCAUCCAUCUGCACAUAUAUAGAAAAAACAAAUAGCACCAAAAUGCUAAUGGUCAAAUAUUAGUGCAGUAGAACAAAUGAGUAUUUUGGUAUCAAAUAUUACCUUGUCAUGCAGAGAAUCCCCAUUUUUCUCACAUAUAUAUGUGAAAGAUGAUGAUGUUGUUCUUCGGACCAAGCUUAACAGACCUUUCAUAGAUGUCUCCCACAUUUCUCUGCUUCCAACAAACCAAUAAAAGAAUUUUGAUAUCAAUAGAUUCUAUGAAGGAAAGACUGUCGACAUUUUUUAGACAUUGGAUAUUUAAAAGAAAAUCUGUGAGUUGAAUUAAAAUAAAAAGUAUGCACCUUUUCCCAAAGAAAUGAGCAAAUGAAAAGAUUAAAAAAUAAUAAGGAACAAAGGCUAAUCAGACUUGUUAGUCAAUCUAAGGUUCUAGUUAAAUGCAUCCACCAAAUUCCUCUUAUUCUAGUUAUUGAAAAGCUAAGGGCCUUUCACAACUGACAAGACCCAAUAUAUGACAAAAAAAAUGUUCCCUCUGAAAAUAAAUUAAAAAAAAGCCCAUGCAAGAGGCUUCCCUUGGACUCACUAAAAGUGUAAAGUUGUCUACUUCAUAUCAAGCCCAAACAAAGCCUCAAAGAAAGCAUGGAAAAAGACACUCCCAUGUUCCCACAUAGCUCUCUUACUUCCCAUCUGGCCCCCAAGGGAGCACACAUCCAAAUUAAGCCCAAGACUCCAAGUAGGAGUAGUUCAUUGCAGUGUUAGCUGUGUUAAGGUUCCUCCAAAAACCAAUAUCCCAGGAGGGAAAUUAUUUAAGAGAAUAAAGUUUAGCUUUACGACACUUCUAAAGGCUGAUUUUCCACUAGAGUUUCACCCAUGACCAAAUUUUAGAGCCACUGCUAGCAACAAACCUCACAAUAGAAAAGAGCAAAAGAAGAUCUUGGGAAUUGAAUUUUCCCUGCAAUGUCAACUUUUAACAACAUGCCAAGUUAAAUUCCACUUCAGGAAUCUCCAAAUCCCUCUUCCAAUGGGAGCUCAGUUUCACAGAGUCCUCAAAAGCAUACACCUUCUUUCCUAGGUGUAGACACCACCUCCCACCUAUUGGGGGUUCUCAAACUAGCAUCCUUGGGCCAAACCAAAAAGAAACUCAGUUUUCUUAAUAAUAGAGGCAACCUUAACAGGAAACACAUUUUUUGUUUUUUGUUUUUUUUUUUUUUGUGUUCAUUUGCUUUAAUAGCAUGAAAUAAAUUGGGAUGUAAACAAAGUAGGACAGAGGAACAGUAAAUCCUAUCCCAUAAAGAAAGGACCAUUCUCUUCUGUACAUCCAGAGGACCUCCACAACAGGAUCCUAGAAUUCUAGGAUUCAAGGGCCAUUCACUAGUACCGCAACUAAUUAAUUAUACCAAAGUAGCUCAUUUCCCAUUAAAAACAAUUCAUUUUAAUUAGUCAAACAGGAAAAAGGAAGGAACGAGGAUCAUGUCAUUCAAUAAGAUGCCAGAUAUCGCAAAUAAACAAUAUUGGCCCAUAGUAGUUCAAGAGAAACUGUCUGACAGUCAAAAUCACAAUCAUCAUGUGGUAUUGAUAAACACAUGCCCUAUGUAGCACACAAAUGAUAUUUCACCAGAAUUCAAUGGGAGAUGUAGGGAUUCACCUAUAAUGCUUCACAUCAGCAGUUUUAUUUCCUUGUAUCCAAACUUUGAGUAAAUAUUCAUAAAAGCUGCAAUCAAGUUUUUCAAGUUAAUCACCAAUGUCAAUCAAACUAACAAAAUUAUGCACAUAGUUCAGCUCCUCCAUCAGGGAGAUAGAUAAAGUAGUAGAAUUCCUAUGACAUAAUGAGACCCAGAUCUCAAGAAAGAUAUCACAAAUCGUACAGAAAUAUUAAAUGGUCAUACCUGUCACCCAUGGCUCCAAAGGUUAUGGUCGAAUAAGAUGAUGUUCCUCUAUGAGGAUUAAUAUAUAUGGGAAGCAAACCAUCAGCAGGAAAUGUUUUAUUAAGCUCAAUGAUAACAUUCUCAACCUGAAACAUCAGAAUUCAAUGCCAGCAAAUUAAACCUCCCGAGAAAAUGCUUGUUUCGUUGGAAGCAGAAGUUAAUGACCAAUGUCUUCUGACUCUAGUUUCUUUACCAAAAAAUUUAAACUUUGUAUGGAGAAGAUGAUAACUAACUGAAGUUGCUUAGUCUUAGGAUUUAAUCCUAGUCAAUACAACAAGAUAGUAAUUGACAUUACUUUAGAUAAUUGUCAAAGGUCAUCUGCAUUUUAAGACACAUGAAAACAAUUCCUUUUUUGGUGUGUGCACAUAUAAGCAUAAGAGGAAUAUACCUUUUUCUGAUACUUUGGAUCACCAGUCCUUUGAGAAAGGGCAAUAAACUCCAGCUGCUCUGUGCCGGAAUCGGCUAGGAUACUGUCACCCUAGGAACAAGGAAAAUUAUACAUUUUAAAAAACAAUGAAAUCAAUUACCAUGGAUAUAUGUUUGAUUUUUUUUUUUUUUCCAUUUCAUGUAUUUAUUAAUUUAUUUGUGGACAUUAAAUCAUUAGCAUGAAACAAUUCAAAAAAGAAAGAGAAAUUGCACCUAAAACAACAGAAAGAGAUUUAGGCAUUAGGAUUCAAUGGUUUUAGAGACUAAGAUGGACUUCUGCAAAUAAUUCAUGUAUUUAUUAAUUUAUUUGUGGACAUUAAAUCAUUAGUAUGAAACCAUUCAAACAAGAAAGAGAAAUUGCACCUAAAACAACAGAAAGCGAUUUAGGCAGUAGAAUGCAAUGGUUUUAGAGACUAAGAUGGACUUCUGCACAUAAUUAAGAACACCGGGUUUCAGAUGCAUCUUAACAUUGUUGUCAGAGGAUAGGAAGCUAGAAAAAGAAAUAUAGUUAAUUAAGGCCCUGUUUAGAUUCACUUCCUCAAAGCAAAAGCCUUUUUUUUUUUUUCCUUUUGAAAGCUCCAUAAGAGCUUAUGUAUGGUUUUUUUAUAAUUUCAGGGUAAGAUUUUUUUGGCAUAAAAAAGAGACUAACAGGGAAGCAAGGACCAUGUAGGUUCCAGUGGAAGCCCUUUCUUGGUUUAUAUGAUAAGCUGUUACAUGUUUAUUCAAACUUUUAAUAAUACCAAGAUUCCUCCUUUAAAAUCAUGAUUUUAGCUUCAACUUAAGCAUCUAACAGAAGUCAAAAGCAAGAAGUGAUCUGAAACAGACCUAAGCUAUGUAGCAGUAGCUUGGACAAUUUUAAAAAGGAUCCAUGACCAUUUCAAACACCAUGUCAUACACAUCAGUAGAAAUCUUAGAAUAUUACCAUUUUUCCUUUUUUCUCUUUAUAUAGUUUUUUAAAGAAUAAAUAGAAGAAGAAUAAAGAAAGAAAAAGACACACCUAUUGAAUCUUGGAAAGCACUAAGAGGAUCUGUUUGUGUGUGAUCCAUUAGUCUUGGCUUGAUAGUUGUUGCUAGAAGUUUCCAUGAAAUAUUGUUAACUUAUGAGUGGAGGAUAAUGGUCAAGGCCAUUGAAAUCCAUAUUUGCUUAAGAGCUUGAUUGGAAAUUGGAGUUGGUGGGAUAGCCUUUGCAGCCAAUCCAAUCCAGAGUUGUUUGUAGUGGCUGGAAGGUAUAUUUGUUUGGCUGAUUCAUAUGAUGUCGCAGUAUGGAAAAAGAUGCUUAUAAAUUUUUUUUUUUUUUUUGAUAGGUAAAAGCAUAACCUUAUAACCAAUUGCCUUGAGGAAUAGUUAGAAUUCAGUUAACAGGUGUUGUGCACACAGAAAACGAAGAGGAAUCAGUGUAUAGUGAUUUGGUGUAGAGGAUGACCCUUUAUGUUUGAUUUGGUGUAUCUGGGGAGAGCAGAUUAGCUGAGUUUUUAAAGAUACAGUGUAUAGUGAUCGCUUUCAGAAUUUAUUUCCUCAAAUCUUGUUUGAAUGGUCAAGAGAUCCUGUGGAUGAAGCCAAUAUUUCUUUUCUAGAGCCCACUGAUUGCUUGGGAGUGGGUUAAUUUGUGCUGUGGCUGUUUUUCUAGUCUUUCCAUUGCUGUUUUGGCAAUCUUUGUAUACUUUCUGGAUAUGUGUAUGAGGAUCGAUAGGCCCACAAAGGAUUAUGUUAACAAGUGCCUUACUCCCCAAGGCACCCAAUAAAUAAAAUAUAAUAGGGAAGAAAUUAAGGACACCCCAAAAUAUCAAGCCAUCAAAGAAAUCUGGAAAGGAUAGUCUCUCAUUCCCUAUAAAUCUUCUGGAUCACACAAGUAUAGGUUUCAUACAAACAUAUUUUUACUUGCAAUUCCAACAGCUCCAAAGCAUUGGAGAUCCUUCUAAUUUCAUUCCUUCCAUGAACAGAAAAAUAGGCAGAGGGGAAUAAUUUGCAAAAUUUCCUCCUCCCUUUGCAAACAGACCAUCCCUGCCAACUGGCUAAGGUGUCCUAAGCUAACUUAGGAAAUACCCAUGAAAUACUGAGGGAUCAAACAAAAGAGACCACAAACUUCAAGUUGUUCAAGGUAUCAAAAUGCAUAAACAAAUUAUUAUACCAACCCAUCCUAUUUGCAAACAGUACCAACUAGCGAUAAUCCCACUCCACUAGUAAAAAUGAACACAGGGAAUGGGUGAGAAUCCUUAAAUCUUUCUAUGCGGAAAACAGGCAAAGUUCCUGGCACAUGGCUUCACAGUGAUUUCACAUAGAAGCAAGUAGCAACCAUCUUCAGAUAACUUCCACUCGUUUAUCCUCCCCGCUUACACACUAUCUUGAAUAUGAGACAAGAACAAUUCUACCAUUUCUGACUCACAACUAUGAAAACUUCUAUAAACCUUCAUUUUUUAUAAUCCUGAUCACCUUCCGCAUUUCGAUGAUUUGCCACCAUGUUGUCUCAAUUAAUUGAAAUGUAUGACAGAUCUGGAAAACGAAGAAAGUUUUUCCCACACCAAAAUCUGACAUAGGAGAUAAAACAUCUCACCCUUUUCUAAGAGCAUUUCAUCACCCCACAACAGCAGCUACUCAUUUCCUCACCAAAUUUACAUUUAUGUGUGGAACACUCUCUAGUGUUCAUGUUCAUGCAAUCAUGCUACAUAUUUAGGUCAAAUAAGGAUUUCAGCAGAAGCCAAAUCACAUCAUGAUGUAUGCAAAAAUCCAACCAGUAGAAGAUCAAUUUUAGGUCAGCGUCAAACCAAGUCAAGUAAAAACUCCAGGUCAUUGUUGAGUAAGCAAGUAGCAGCAAUUACAUAGUGAAAAUGGUAAAUGCAUUCUAUUUUCCCUCAUGCCACACAACUAAGAAACAUAAUUUCCACACCUAAGCCCAAGACACAUUUUAUAACUUCACACAACUCAAAAUAGAAUAAUAAAUCAACAGAAGGCAAUAAUAAACAUAUAAAUAAAUAAAACAACUUUCCAAUAAAUAGUGACAAAAGAACAACCAGAAACCAGACACUUACUCCAGUCCAUCCAGGGUUAUGCGCAUUUCCAUGUGACAGUAUUUUUGCAGUAAACUGAGGCAUUGUCAAUGGUACUAUUGUGUUACUUUUAGAUAUAAAAAUAUGACUUGGGAAAGGAUUUACACCCUUUCCAUCUCUCUUCUAUUGUAUUUUAUUCUUUCUUCUCCUCUCUUCUCUGCAUCCAAAUCCUCAUAGCAUCUCCAACUCAGUAUCAAGUUGAUCCGGGUGUAAUCAUAUUAGAAACUUUAAAAUAGAAUUUAUCAAUAGCAAAUGACGGGAGAUGACAAUAAACUUCAUUUGUUGCAUCAUAAAAAUUAAAUUACUUAUUAAGACAUUUAUUUUUACAGUAGUUUAUGGAAUAAUAAAUUAGAAAAUUCUAAAAAUAUGUUACAAAGAUUCUUUUCUAGGCCAAAAACGAUUAAUUAGUAAGUACCUAACAAACGGAGGAGCAACCUAGGUGUAGUGGAAUACAAGGAUCACUCAAAACAUCAAAAUACAUGGAAACACUGCCUGCUCACUAGCCUGGGAUUAANNNNNNNNNNNNNNNNNNNNNNNNNNNNNNNNNNNNNNNNNNNNNNNNNNNNNNNNNNNNNNNNNNNNNNNNNNNNNNNNNNNNNNNNNNNNNNNNNNNNUAACAAAAUUUCAGCUCUAACUCCAAUUGCCCAAGACCAUACAAAUGAGGUUUCUAAGAUUUGUUUCCUUCUUAUGCCAGUAUAUAAAGAUUGCCUCCAUUUAGGGAAUUUCUUGCAAUUCAAUUUAUAAAUAUAGUCUUGCACAAGUAUAUUAGGAAUGCCUUCAUAUGAGAAUUUCUUGCAAUCCAAUUUACACAUAUACCAAAUUAGGCUAGACAGCCACCAGCCACCACCUCCCUCUAUAAAAUUCACAUAUUCUAAAGAUGAAAAUUCCCAAGUUGAGAAAAAUUGUCUCAUGAUUAUCUUUUAUGCGUUAGAACAUAGUUUUCUUCUUUUUGCUCAUGAAGACAUAUUUGCGCCUCUUGGAAUAUUCCAAGGGCCCAACCAACUAAUUUCUUGCUACAUCUUUCCCAUACACCUAAUCUCUUCUUCCCUAAAUUUCUGUAUUUCUUGCCAUUAUCUUUUCUUACUUCAAAUUUCUGUUCCCAUGGCCUUUCGGUAGCAUUAUUUUCUUGAAAUUUGCAUUCAUUCCAUCCAUGUCUCUGUUUCACUUAGUAAGGUGAACCCAACCUUCCUAUAGUUUUUCUCUUCAAUCUUCUUGGUUUCAUCACUUCCCAACUGUUCUCCAUUUCAAACUGUUUUUGCUUUUCCCACGACAGGAGCUUAUAUUGGACCUUGAACAUACCUGUACCUCUACCUGAAACCAAAAUAGAUAGGAGGGGAAAGAAUAUGUAAGAGUAUGACCUCAUUCUAAGGAAUUCAACAAAACAAACACAAAACUUUGUAAGAAGAGGUGCCUUCUCAUAAAGGGGAUUGCAGUGACCAGUUACCAAAAAAGGAAAGCUCUAUUUUCCAGGCUCUCCCAUAGUUGAUACUUUGGAACCACAAGAAUUCUUACUAAGAAUGAGAGAUCCUUUCUUUCUCAUCCUUUCUUUCAUCAAACAGGACAAAUAUAUAUAGAAUCAAACUGAACCCAAUAAAUGCCCAUUCAUGGAAGAAUAAGCUUCAACAGAUUGAAGACCUUCAAUUUCCCAUACAUCCACCUUUUUCAAGAACUAUCCCACUAGAAUCAUCCUUCUACUAGUGCUCUUUGCCCAUCUAAUAUCGAUUCUCUUCCUAUUCCCCAGAGUCAAACUGAUGUCUUAACUAAUCUCCCAAGUUUGGUGAAAAGCUCUGGUAAAUAUAAACAGGAACUGCGAAAAAGAGUGCUAAUAAAUCAAAAAAUAACUUUUCAAACAUUUAUAAUUAAUCAAAAACCAAACUAAAAAAAAUCAACUUACCUUCCCAUGGCUGCGUGUGUGAAUCUCUUCUCCAUUAUGAUGCGUCAAAAGUGACAGCGGCUUUUCUUAAGUCCAAUGUGCAGCUACUACCACUAUUGUAUGGUGUGUCCUAUGGAAAUCUUUUCAACUAUGUAUGGAAGUCUUUAUGUGGCUGUGUGUGGAGAAUGCUCUCCAGUGGAGUCCCGUGCAGCUGCUUGUUGUGGAAGAUGCUGCCCAAACUGUGGUGCGUGGUUGCCUCUUCUGUGUGUGCCUCUUGCAGCCGCGAUUGGUGGACUCCAACUUCUCCAAUGGUGUGCUGUGAUGCUUCUCGAAUUGAUGGUCCCUUUCCUUGGUGUGUGAUGCUAAGAGGGAUCUCUAAUGAUGCAGACUGUGUGGUUGGGAGGGUGGCUGUGAAGAAACUCGUAUUCGCGUGUAAGAGAAGGCCCCUCUUAUAAUGCGUGAUUGACUCCCUUAGCGGACUGUGCAUUCUUCCAAGAUGGACUGUCUCCCCUUUCAGGCUGCUGCGUGUUGGUGCUUCUCCAUGAAGAAUGCCGACUACAAUGAAACUUUAGUUUUGUAGUUCGACCAACUUCUAUAUGGUUAAUAAUUGCCUUUCCUCAUCAUUCAAACAGAAGAUAAGGUAACUUAACAUUAAAAAUGCAUUCUUGCAAAGAAACCUUGAGAGGGAUGUUUGCAUGGAGCAACCGUUGAGGUUCAUUGAUUCCACCAAGCAAGGCCAUGUUCUUACUUAAAAAGUCUUUCUAUAGAUUGAAGUAGGCACCUCAUUCUUGGUUCGAUCAACUGUCUUAAUAUCUACUACAACUUGCUUCUAUUAUAACAAAUUUAAUGCUUAAUUAACUCUUUGUCUAUCGCACCAAUGAUAUUACAACUAUUAUUCUCAUAUGCAUGGAUGAUGUUCUUCUCAUAGUGAGUAAUGAUGAUUUUGUUCAAAUUUUAAUUGAACGUCUUGGCUAAGAGUUUGAAUUAAGGAACUUGGAUCACUGAACAAUUUUCUUGGAGUAGAAGUGAAGCCUUUUUUCGAUGAUGUAUUCUUGUCUCAACAGAAGUAUAUGCGUGAUUUGCUUCACAAAAAGCAAAUGCCACUCAAAGACAAAGAAGACCUCUUUGGUUACAUGCAUAGAAUCAUUUUCAGAACUUCAUCUAUGAUUUGUUUAUGAUAUUUGUUUUUUCGAUGGAGCUAAAUGGCAAAAUAAGAUUAGUGCAGCCCCUAGUCCCUGUAGUAUGUUAGAGACCCUUAAAACUACUAAGCACUUUUAGAAUUGAUAUCCAAGUUUUAAAAACUUAUAGAAUUGAUCAAUAUGACAACUGGGCAAACGAUUGAUUGUUCUCAAGGUGAACAGUAGAGAAGAAUAUUCAUUAGCUUAAUUUUUUUUCAUAAAAAUUACCAUGAUUAAUAGAAAUAUAGGAUAAGUCAUCCAGGCUUACUGUCUUCAUGUGUGUCCAUCCAAUAAAAUCAGGUGUUGGAUAAGCACAUACUAAUGGUAGGAUUAAUUGAACCUAAAAAUGUCAACUCCCUAGACUUUAUUGUAUCAACAUCCAAAAUGACAAUUGCAGACCAAGGAGAAGCCCUAAGGGAAAUAUCAAGCUUUGGAGAAAGGUUGUCGUUGUCAAAAUUACCAUAUAAGAAAGUCACUCUUACAAGGUAUGUUUACCAUAUAAUAAACAUGAUUAUUUAAUACGGUUUGGAAUCUGAAAUGUGAUUGCUUGAAACCAUCACUCCUUAAGAGGUUUUAAUUACUUUACCGAAAACCAAAGAUUCACAUUCAACAGUCCUAAAUCUGUAGAAACCUAAAAAUAAUCUUGACCAAAUUUGCAUAAUCUAGGGUUUUGAAUUCACCUUAUGAGAAUUUUAGAUUCCGUUGAGAAUUUGCACCGACCUCAGACUACCCUUUUGAGUCUCUCUCUUUAUGUUGGGAUGUGAAGAACGUGCCUUGGCUACUAGUGUUUGGGAUUAGGGAUUCGGCGAAAAUGAGGUAAUGUAUUUUGUUAUAUAAUAGUGAUUUAUUAUUUAAAUGCAUGUUGUAUUAUAUGCUAAUUGUGCCGUAAAAGAAAAAGUGAAAAUUCAAUAAUUUAUUAUUAUCAUAUGAAUUGCAUAUAUAAUAUAUUGUUUUAUAUGGUAAUGUUACCAUAUAUAAUGAAGUAUUUUAUAUGUUAAUUUAUUGUUCAUAAUAAAUUGAAUGUUAUUAUAUUAAUAUAUUUUUAAGUUUAUUAAUUUUUUAAGCUUAUUUAAUUCUACUUAUUUUUUUAAUAUUAAAAAUAUUUUAUUUUGCAUAUCAUCCAAUAUUGAGUUGAGAAGUUGAGAUUGUUGUGUCUCGAGACCUUUCAAGUUAAUGACUAAUACCGUGACUUUGAACCAUGGUAGACACAGUUAUGCUGUUAAAAUCAUUAGAGAAGUCGAAUAGAAAGAGAAGUUGCAUUGUACAUAGAGAAAUUAAUUUUUCACAUAGAGAGAUAUCAAUAGAACUUGUGUAUACUGUAGUGAGAAAUGAGAGGAAAAAAUGAUUUUUGAGAUGAGCAUUGUUGGGUGUGAAAUUAGAGAAGCUUGGGAUAGAAACAGAAAUGGUGUGAGAGAAGCAACAUAAGCAUUAAAAAGUAUAUAUAUAUACCAAGUACUUCACCAUGUCUAUAAUGCUACCAUACACACAAUUCUCAAAUUAGUUGCCACUACAUAUCUCAAUGCCAAUUUUUCCACUAAAUUUUACCUCCAUCCAAUUCUUUGCACACAGAUGAAUUUAAGAUGCAACGAUACCAACAUGUUUGGACACAACUUAUGCUAACCUCUACUAAAGUUAUGUGAUUGUAUCCAACUUUUCUUCUAGUGAUAUUCAUUGAUUGAUGCAAUUAGCAAUGUGAUUUCCUUUCAAGUAAAGUGAUGUAAUUUUCUUUCCAUUAAAGCUUAUAUUUACUUGUAUAUAUUUUACCUAAACUGGCGAAUGGAAAUAAGUGAGAUCUUAUUUCCACCUAUCUUCUUAUGGGACCUCUCACUAUCGAGUUAACAGAGUAAUAAAAUCCUUUAUAACCACCUUAAAACUAAAAGCAAUGACACAAUAUCAGAAAAUUAGAUAAAGCUGUAGGACUCAUCCCUUGGAACAAAUAAAACCAAGCCAAAUAGCCUAUACCCUAACUUACAUAUGGAUAGCUUUCAUAAUAAGGGGCACAGGAACUCACUAGAAUACAACAUUCCUCACAAGCAUAGACUGAGUGGAACUUGGGCCAACAUUAUUACCUUAUGGUUUUAUUGAAUUCGUUUAAUUAUUGAACUUUUAUAAGUUUAAAUAUUUUAUUAACCAAUGUGAGAACUUGAACCUUCCACUUCAUUUAUUAGAAUUGACCCUUCUUCAUAUAGAAGAUUUUCCAAUUCUUCAACAUCUAACUCUGCUAGUUGAUCGUCAUCAACUACCCAAAAAUCGGUCUCAUCAAUGCAUGCAUAGUCAAUGGGAUCAUAGAUUCUUUUCUUGUUAUAGAACCUAAAAAAAAAAAGCAUAUAAUUAUUCAUAAUUGUGAAUAGAAGAAUUUAAAUUCAAAACAACUAAGAAAUCAUUUAUACCGAUUUUUUAAGCACAAAUUGUAAUGAACGUAUACAAGAUCAUUAAGCCUUUGAUGUUCCAAUCUAUUCCUUCUUUUGGUAUGUAUACGUUCAAAGACACUCCAAUUCCUCUCACAUCCAGAAGACGAUGCGGUUUGGCUCAAUAUUAGAAUGGCUAACUUUUGCAAAUGUGGUGCACUGUAUCCAUGUAGCCUCCACCAUUCAUCUAGUUACCAUUUCACAUUAAAAAUAAGAAAAAAAUAAAACACAUUAGCAAGUUUAAAAUAUUAAAUAGUAAGUAGGUAACCAAUAAAAAAGAAUAAACAUACUCAUAAAUGAAAAUAAUAUUUUACCAGGUUGAAGUACUUCACAUGAAGAAUAAGCAAGGUCUCUUCCAAAACUUCCCAAUUGAUCACGAAAUAACUUCAUUUCAUUCAUUGUUUCAAGCUUGCCUUUCAGAACUUUCUGAUCAAUAACAUCCAUGACACCUCCAAUAACAUUUGGCUUAUUACAAAAGUUUUCCUGAUCAUAUUGGAAACAUGGAUUCAACCAAUAAGCUGUUGAAUGAAUGCUUUUCUUUAGUUGUUGAUCCCAACGUUGCUUUAUGAUCUCUGUAUAAGGCUUGUAUAGUCUUUCGUUGUAGUUAAACAAUUUCUUAAUGCCCAAACGAACCCUAUACAUGUCUUCAUACACAUAUCCCAUCGAAGGCCUCUCAUCACAAUCAACAAUAUGCAAUAAGCGCAUUAGUGGAGACAUAAGAUUCACAACAAUCAAACAAUCAUUCCAAAAUCUAUUAUCCAAGAUUAUGGAAAUUGCAACUUUGCUUUUAUAAUCCUUUGAAUAUCUAAAGUCCACAAAAAACUUACUAGUCACCAAAGCUUGCAAGUCAUGUUUAUGAUUAUGAGGACUCUUGAGUGCAAUGAAUGUAGUAGCAAAGCGAGUUACACCAGGUCGCAAAAUCUCUAUCCAUCCUUCUCUUUUUCUUAACCAACUUAACAAAGCAACAUGAUUAUAAACAAAAAUUGUCACCUUUGAUGCACGUCUUACAAGUUCAGCAACAUGGUCCAUCUUACCAAUAUCCUUAAAGAUCAAAUUAAGACAAUGAGCUGCACAAAGUGACUAAUUAAUGUGUUUAUGCUUCUGAGAAAUCAAUCUCCCUGUGGCCACAUAAUUUGCUGCAUUAUCAGUGACUAUAUGAACUACAUUGAGUGGACCAACCCAUUCAAUCACCUCAUCAAAUAACUGAAACAAAUUAGUUGCAUCAUUGACAAUGUCCGAAGCAUCAACGGAUUUCACAAACGAUAUUCCUUUAGGAUAAUACACAAGGAAGUUGAUGAGUGUUCUUUGUCUAUUAUUUGUCCAACCAUCACCCAUUAUUGUACACCCAACUUUUGCCCAAAUUGCACGAUAAGAGUCCACAAGUAACUGAACUUCCUUCUUGGCAUCCUUUAAAAGAUUAACUCGUAGCUGAUGGUAAUUUGGACUCUUAUAUCCAGGACCAAUUGCAAAUAUAGCAUCCAACAUUGGCUUGAAGUAGAAGGAAUUCACUACAUUAAUAGGAAUGGAUGUAUCAUAAAAGAAUCUCCCAACCGCCAUAUCCGUUCUCCAAAUAGCUUAUUUCCCAACUAGUACACUUCUCAUGGAAGGUUGAGCUCCUUGAGUAUUUCUUGGUGCAAAAUACUUAUCCACUGUUGAUUUUUUCCUUUUUCCACUAUUAGCUGCCAUAGGACUUUGCAUUUCUUGAACCUCUUCUUCACCUUCUGCCAUAUCCCCUUCAAAUUGUGACAUAUUAGGACCAUAAGGAUUUCUACAUUCAUAUGCUUCUUGGGUUGCUUUCUUAGAAUUCCCAAACUCUUGCAAAGAAUUUUUCCAUUCGAAAUAUUACAUCAGGAGGAACCGAUUUACAUGGACCAAUAUCUCAUUUCACUCCAGCAAGAUGUUGUUUCAUUCUAUAAAUACCCCCACCUUUUGUAAUCUUUUUACAAUACAAACAAAUAAGAGCUUUCCUUCCAUUUGCAUAUCUUUCUUCAGAAACAUGCUCCCAUGCAAGAUCGGUCUUACUUCUAGUUGAUUGAGAAUUGGUAGUUGAAUCUUGACCAAAGGAUGGAGUCAUGUUUGAUUCCAUUUUUUAUUUCUUUAUCAACUUAGAAACAAAAAUCUCACAUUAAUGUAGAGAAUGGAAGUCAUCAACAAUUUAAUGAUUUAUAAUCAAGUCAUCAACAAUUUAUAACAAUCACAUAUCAAUGGGUAAAUUUAUCUAAAAGAAUAAUGGUCAUUAUAACAAGCAUGUUUUGAUCCAAUUAUAAAUUUAUCUAAAUUCUAAAGUAAUUUUGUAGAGAUAUAUUGAUGGGAUACAAGGAGCAAACCAUGAGAAUCACGUGCUUGGGCAUUCAUUAAAGUUUGAAAUAUUAAUGAAAUCACAUGCCACUAUGAAUGGAUGAAUCUCACCAUUCAAUUGUCUUAUACUCCUAUGCUUUCUAACAUUUGGAUGGCGACUCCUCUUUAUUUCUUCUUGGCUCAGGUCUCAACCACCCCCACCAUUCCUCUGUUCAACGUUCCACCCAUUCAAUUUCAACCCACUUUAACAAAUGUACAUAUGUUUUCCGCUUUGAGACAAAAUCAAAGCCAUAUAAUUCAACACCCCUCAAACUCCUAACUAGUCACUCCAUGCUUUCAUUUUGGCUUCACACAGAGACUUUAAGAACAUAAAUUAUAGACACACACCUAUUUUUACUUAUCAAUGCAUUAUUUAGUAAGAGGUUUAAGGCUAAUUAACCAUGCAAGGGCACAUGGUUAGACCUAGAAUAGUGAGAGGAAGUGACUGUGGAUGAAUUGAAGGUGGCUUUGGGUAUAAAAGCUAAGGAGGCCAAAGGGAAAACUCACUGGGCAAACUCCAACGUCGGGGCGGGCUACCAGCUGGGAGAGGGGGGGAGCUUUCCAACGUUAGCGAUACCUGUGUGGGUGUCGUGAGCCGCCUGCGGGACCUGUGUGGGUGUCGCAGGUCGUCGGCGGGAUCUGUCUUGGUGUUGCGACAGGGAUGCGUCGACAACGGGCGGAGGAGAGGGGAGGAGCUUUCCAACGCUGGCGAUACCUGUGUAGGUGUCGUGGGCCGCAGGCGGGACCUGUGUGGGUAUCGCAGGCCAUCAGCAGGAUCUGUUUUGGUGUCACAGCUGGGAAGCGUUGACGGCGACAGAGGAGGAAGGGUUGGAGGUUGUAGCCUGUAGAUUUUGAGAUUUUCAUUUUGUUAUAUAGGACUCCAAAACGGCGUCAUUUUGAUGUUGUUUUUUUUAAAAAAUAAAUUAAAAUCAAUUGAACUGGCUGGUUCGUCCAGUUCACCGGUUGGACCGUCGGUUCAGCAGUCCAACCUCGGUUCGAUCCCCAUCCGGUCCAAAUGACCAAAUCGGACCGGAACGGUGACCGGUCGAUGGUCGGACCAGCCGGUCAGGUCCGAUUUUUAAAACAUUCGAAAUAACAACUCCUGAAUUAUUUUUGCAACCAAUUCCCUCCCAUUGACAACAAUUGCCUCCUCUCCAAGAUGAAAGCCGAUUUUUAAAACCUUUGAGACCAUUUUUGAAGUCAAUAAGAGCAUCUUUAUUUUCCCUUAAGCAAUUUCCCAAAAGAAUUUCAUCUUUACAAGUGAAUACUCUUGUUGUUAAACAUAGAAUGAUUGAAAGGAAACUAAGAAUUGAAAAUUUCUCCAUCUGAGAACACCUGUAGAAACAAGUAACAAUAAGUUCCAACACAACAAUAAAAAUAGUGACAAAAUUCGAUAAGCAACGGCAUCAUGAUAUUAGACAAUAAAUAACAUAUUUAAUUUAACUACUCAUUAGUUUAAUAAGAUAAAAAAUGUUAAGUGAACAACAUAGUUGAAGACAUAUCAAGAAAACAUUAUUGUGACUAUCUCACCAAAUGGCAAAUAUGCUCAAUGAUUGCUAUGGAUCAAAACAUUCAAACUACAUAAAUCAACCACAGGGGAAAAAAAAGGCAUUAGGAAUAAACACUAGGAAUAGUGGCAUUAUUACUCAUGAAGUAGGAUUUUACCUAUUAUCUCUUUUUAGGUUGUCCUCAAUCCUUUCGUUGAAGAGAAAUAUAUAGAAGAUAAUUCAAAAAGAAGCCAAGUGGAUGAUAGUGAUGUGGACCUCGCAUUUUUAAUGAUGCGUUCCCACUCGAUCGGCGAGACUCACUUUUCAUUAUUUGGGUGAAAAAUAUGUUUCUCAGAAAAGACUUGGAGUCGCCACUUACUUUUAUUUAUUUUUAAAGGGGAAAACAAGUAAGAACAAAACCCCUGGAUGGACUCCUGAUUUUGUUUUUGGAAAAGCUGUCUGCGAAAAAAACCUAAGUCUGGGUCCGGGGAUCAGGUUACUUAUUGGGAAGGUACGAUAAAGACCGUAGCACCCCUCUAAGCCCCUAAAAAAGGGUCUCUACUAAAUAAGGUGAAGCAAACAUGGCAAUUAACUAGGAGAUCAAUGGAUACCAAAAUGAUCAUAGUUCAAAAAUAAAGUCAUGAUAACGAAAUAAUAAACAAAGUGAGAGUGAGAGUGUACCUUAUUAGCAGGUAAUAAAGCGCUGUCAUGAAAACAAGGUUAGUGUACAAUGACAAGUGUAAAAACAAUCUCAUACAGAACUAAAUUAAAAUCAAACAGAAUGGAGAGCACAACUUACUUGAAUUAUUUUCGAAGAAAAUGUUAUGAAUGUCGGGCCCCCACCAAAGCCCAAUUUAUUUUUGCUAUGAAUUAAUUCUCAUAAAUUCCAUUAUUUUGGAAUUAUGAAAACUUAUUCAUUUCUAAAUAAAAAAAAUUUGAAAAAAGGAAUUUUGAAAAUUAAAUUUGAAAUUUCGGAAGUGUGGAAUUUUAUUUUAUAAAAAAAUGAGUUUGAAAAUUUUGGAAAUCUCUUUGAGAAUGGUAUUUCAAAAUAAAUAAAUAAAAAAAUAAUUUAAAAUAAAAUUAAAUAAAAAAAACGAAUAAAUAAAUAAAUUUUGAAUUUUGGAAAAUGGAAAUUUUGAGAAUGGAAUUUUGAAAAAUUAAAUUAAAAAAAAUUGAAAAUUUGGAAGGAUUAUUUUUUAAAAAUGAAAUUUCGGAAAAUUAAAUUUUAAAAAUUGGAAAUUUGGAAAAUUGGGACUUCGAGAAUGGAAUUUCGGAAAAUUAAACUUAAAAAAUGAAAUUUUGGAAAAUUAUUUCAAAAAUAGAAAUUUUUGGAAAAUUGGAAUUUUUGAAAAUCGAAACGUGAAGAUCAACGUUUUGAAAAUUAUAUUUUUUGAUGUAUGAGAAUAAAAAUAAAAAAAUAAUAAAUAAAAAGAUGGUACGUAGUCGGUGGGACUCGCAUCCCGAAAGUGGCCAUGCAAAGCGUGGUCCUGGGAUGGAAUAUCUUAUAACAUAAUAAUAAUAAUAAUAAUAAUAAUAAUAAUAAUAAUAAUAAUAAAACAAUCUCAACCUCACAUACUUUAAUACUAUUUACACAUGAAAUAUUGAAAACUAACAACUGAAUAUCAGAACAUGAUAAAAUUAAUUAAGGGAAACUAACCCUAAAAUUAUUAAGAGUAUAUACUAACAUGAAACAAUAAAAUAAAUUGACAACUAGGAAUAUUAAAAACCUAAAUUAAUGAGGAACGACCAAACUAAUGCUAGAGAUAAUAAAAAAAAAAAAACAUGAACUAAUUUAGGUUCAAUAAGAAUGCAUAAUUGGAAAAUAAUAAAAACUAACGUCUAAGGAUAUUUAAAUCCCAAACUAAUAAGAGGUAAAUAAAUACUAAAACCUUAAUAUUUAAAGAAAACUAUUGAACAAUAAUGGAUCAACCGAAAUAUCAAUUAAUCAUUCAAAGAGCAAUAUAUGUCAACAUGGAUCAGUUCAACCAAAGACUAAAAAUUCAAGAAGCAAUAUAUACUAACAUGAGUUAUUAAAAUCAACAAUUAAAAACUCCUAGGUAUAUACAAAUUAUCAUAGGCCAUCAAAUUAAAAAACUAAAAAUUCAAAGGACUACAAAGAAUUAACAUGGGUCAACCAAAAUAACAAUUCAUAAUUUUAAUGACAAUGUAAAUUAAUAUAGAUUGACAAAAAAUAAGAAUAAAAAUUUAAUGAGCAAUAUAAAUUAACAUAGAUAUUUAAAAAAAUUAACAACAAAUGAUUUUAUGAAAAUGAAGAAAAAUAAUAAUAAUAAUAACAAUAAAUAAACAAACAAAAUUUCAUGAAUAUUAUAAAGCUACAUAGAUAUUAGUUUUCAUUUUGUUUCAUUUUAAAUUUAUAACAAUGUAAACCAAUAACAUAUGAUCCACCAUAUUCACUUGAAUUUUUAAUUCAAUGAAACAAACCACUAACAUGAAACAUCUCAUGGCCGGCCAUUAAUCUUACUUUGAGUUUUUUAUAUUAAAAAAAAAAAACAAUGCUCAAGCUUCCACUAUUAUUCGAAAUUAGCCAAAAUUAAGAAAAAAAUAAAAAUAAAAUCCUAUUAUUUAAUAAAAUCUAAUUUUCCAUUAUUAUUAAAAUUGAUCAAAACUAAAUUUAUUUUUUUUAAAAAAAAAUUCCAAUUUUCUACUAUUAUUCAAAAUUUGACCAAAACUAAAAUUAAUUAAAAGAGAAAAUUUAUGAGGAAUAAAACAAAAAUUCUUAUGCCGUGAGAUCAAACCGAACACUUAAAAUAAAAUGAUAAACACGCAAUAGCUUAGAACCUAAAAUACAAGAGCCUAUAAAAAUAAUAAACAUUCAUGCAUAUUAUAAUACAAGUCCACACGCAAUGCUAUAUCCACUAUGCAUCAACAAUUCUUUAAACAAUAAAAGUUAGUGGACUUUGAAUGUCAUGAAAUCCCAUAAUAAUUAAUAAACAUUGACAAUGGUCAUUUGACACAUGCUGGAAAACUUUCUUGUGCCUGUUGCCAAAAAAAACUUUAAAACAAGGAUUUUAAAAACACUAUUUGGGCCAGAAAAGUGAAUAAAAUAUAUGGUUUAAUAGUUUUUUUCCUUUCUUUCUUUUUGUUUCCUUUUGACUUUAACAGAGGAGCAAAGUGAAUGGACUGCAUAGAGACGAGCUCUUGCAUGCACUGGUACUCCUCAACCACAGAAGACAAACACCAAUUCUGCAAUUUUCUCAAACAACCCACAAGACAGCCUGUCCGGUGCUUUCCGCGUUUGCACCACAAUAAAACAAUGCCCUUAUUUUCCCUGCCUUAAGAGUAAAGCUUGAAACUGCAGGGAAAAUCACUUCUAAAAACUCUCAAAUUUCCCGCUCCAAUGACAAUGCAAGGAGCAGAAGUUUGCGUUCCGAAACCAAGAAAAAAAACCCCCUAAUUUCCUCUGCGUUUCUCAGCAAAACUCGGUUUGACGCGCAUAGAACUUGAAAUCUACAGAGACACAGUGGAAAAAUCGCCCUGCAACACUCUCGAAUUUCCUAUUCUAACCGCAAUGCAAGAUAGAAAAGCAUGCGUUUGGAAACCAAGGAAAAUAACACCCUGGUUUUCUCUGCGAUUCUCGGGGAAAAAAAUCUAGAAUUUGACGCGUGUACGCAGAGCAUUAAAAAGAGAGAAUGAAAAUUGCAGAGAAAUAGAGUCACACUAGCACCGAGCCAGUCCUCAAGAAUGGCAGUGAGAUCAGCAACAACUAAAUAUAAAAAAUAAUCCAUAAAUCAACAAAGUUCAGCAUGUAACCCAUCUUACCCGCACCCAAAUCAACAAGCAAUGCAAAGCAAAUAAAUGAGAAAAAGAGGACAAGUAUAUUAAUCAAAGUAAGCAAGAAAACUCACAAUCAGCUUACCUACGGCCGCUCCUUUCCUUUGUUAUGCUUUCUCCUAUCCUUCGUUUUUUCUGCUGGUUUUCCUGUCUUCUCUUCCUCUGCAACUCAUUCCUUUUCGAAUCUGUACCUCUUCCCAACCUCCCGACCUUCUCCUCUCAGACCUCCUUCUUUUUUUUUCCUCAGUCUCCCUUUUAUAUCCUCCCUUGAAAACCCCUCAUUUUCAUCUAGAAAAUGGCCCCUGCCUCUUUCCCAUGCAGACUCCUCGAAAACCUCAUUUUUCAGCCGAUUCGUUUCUUCCUCUUCAAGACUUCCUUUCUCUCCAAUUUCCCACAGCCUCUUCGGGAAAUACCCUCCACUUUUUCUUUCUCUUCAAGAAAAAUCCCUUUUUCUACCCUUCCUCUCUUUGUUUUAAAAAUAACAACUUUUUUUAAUCCCCAUGAUUCUUGCUGGCUUUUGACUUUUAAUUUUUUCCAAUAGAAUAUCUUUUUUUUCCUUCUUCUUCUUCUUCUUAUGUAGUCCACCGACUCUCCUUUUCCAUUAUUUAUUUAUUUUUUAUAUAAUAAAAACAAAGUAUAUAAGGCAAUAAAAAAAAAACAUAAUACAAUAAAAAAAAAUGAAAAUAAAAUGACAUAGUAAAAGCAUAAUAUAACUAAAUAAUAAUGGUACUAAGAAUAACAAAGGUGAUGAUAAAAAAAUAAUAAUAAUAAUGAUUAUAAUAAUAAUAAUAAUAAUAAUAUUGAUAAUAAUAAAGACAACUUAUAAUACUGGUACUAAUGAUAAUAUAAGAUCCCUAGUCACUUACGAUUUUCUGAAAAUAAAUAAGUGGAUCAAUGAACAAAUAAAGCAGGAAAAAUAAAUAAAUACCACACGCACAUAACAAUAAUCUAAAUAUUAAACUAAAACACAAAUGAAAAAACUAAAAAUAAAUAAAUAAAUAAAUAAAUAAAAAGAUAAAAUGAAAAUAAAAAUAGAACAUCAAGCUGAUACAAUUAAACAUCGAAAACUCAUCUCAAGCAACCCAAAUAAAAUAAUAAAGAAAUAUCAAGCUGAAUACUCACCUAGUCUCAAAAAUUCAUCAAUCAAGAAACUAAUCUUAAAUAAUUAAGCUUAAAAUAAUAAUAAUAAUAAUAAUAAUAAAAUAAAAAAUAAAAUAAUAAUAAUAAUAAUAAAAUAAAAAAAAUAAAAAAAAAUAAAAAAAAUCCAAGUGACCUGGGUGACCUAAGUGGAAAGUGUCAAGGUGAAUUAGGUGGAAACUAAACCAAGGAGGUGUCCAAGUGAUAAAAAAACAUGCUAAGUGACUUAGGAGUGUACCUACCGGGCCAGGUGUAUCUAAAUGGGCCUAGGGUGCAAAAGUGGGCCUAAGGUGGUGCCCAAUGGGUCAUCAGAGAAUUAUUAUAAAGUAUCAAACGGACACGUAAUAGAACAUGUGCUAGUAGGACAAAAUAGAGGGUCUACAAGUGAUAGUCAAUCCCUUCUUUAAUUUUAGCUAUAUUUUCAAAAUUAGAUUGGACAAAUGGGUCAAUUGUCAACCAAUCCCUUUUGGUUUGGGUGGCCUUUUUUUUGACCAUUUUGGGCUUAAAUAGGUUUAAAACUGGCAAUUACUACUUGAUUAUGAAUUAAUAUUACUUUUAAACUUGAUCCUUGAAAUUUCCAAUACUUCAACAUUUCACUUCAUUAAUAGCCUAAAUAAAUUAUAAAAAAAACAAAAAAAAAACAUCGAUAAAAUUUAAUCACUUAACAAGAUUUGUAAGUCCAAAAUUUUGAUACCAUGUUAUAAGGUAAUAAUUUAGCAUGAUAAUAUAUAUUACCAAACAUUUGGUUUAAUAAGAAUAAACCUAAUCUAAAUUCUCAUAACUAUUUAUUGGGUUGCUACUAUAUAUCAAGAAAAAUCUCAUCAUUAACUAUGCUUUUUAAAAUUAUCUUCUAAGGAAAAAGACUUAAGUUAUUAUCUCUUUAAUAUUUUUGGAAAGGAAAAGGACUCAAUCUAUCAUUUUGGUCCAUAACUUUGACUUUGUGCCUUAUCCACUUGUCCCUUUGAGCAUGACUUUGUUACUGUUGGCAGAUCAGAGGGUUGGUCGCGUCCAUCAACUCCCCUUGUGUUCACCGUGGGCGCUUGGGUGAAUGCACUAUAAGGUUAGGGUAUGCGCCUUUCCUAACAAUAAUUGCUUUUAGGAGAGUUGGUAGCGCCUAAGGUCCUACAAGUGGUAUCAGAGCCGAGGUCACUGGUUCGAACCCCAGGGGUGUCGUUGGGAGGGAGAUUGUUGGCAGAUCGGAGGGUUGACCGCAUCCAUCAACUCCCCUUGUGUUCGCCGUGGGCACUUGGGUGAAUGCACUAUAAGGUUAGGGUAUGCGCCUUUCCUAACAACAAUUGCUUUUAGGAGAGUUGGUAGCACCUGGGGUCCUACAGUUACUACUUAGCUCAUCAAACACAUAGAAAGUUGUAGAGAAAAGUUACAAAGAGUCAUGAAACCACUCUAUCCCCAAAUCAAAAGGAUUUUUUGAAUGAUAUGAGGAACAGAGACAAAAACUCCCACUAUCAUCCAUUAAGUAAUAUAUAAAGGUGUUUUUCAAUAGAUUUCAUGUACAACUACCUCCAAGUAAGUAUGAAGAUAUUACAAAAUAUACACAAGGGAGUUGAUAAGGUAUAAAAAGUUUGUCUCCAAACUCAAUCCAUGACUUAGAUUAUCUAUCCAACUUAUAAUUUACUCAAGUCAUGUGCAAUUCAAGUAGUGCAAAUCAAAAUGCUCAAAUGCAAAUAAGGAUAUAGUGGAAACUAACUUUGUUACACUAUUCCUUACUUUUAAGGGUUCUAUCCAAUAAUUCCAAUUCAUUUCACUUUUUUUCCUCAUCUAUAUAAAUCUCCAAUGAUUAAAAAAUGUAUAAAUUUUUAAAUAAAUUUAAUUGUAAUUGAUUUUAUUUUAUAUUUUUCAUGGUAAACCAAACACCAAAAAAUCAUUUCACUUUUGUUUAAAAAAUAUUUUGAAGAGGGAAGAAGGGGGAUAAAAGGAAAAAAGAAAUUAAAAUAAAAUAAAAUGAUAACAAUAAUAAUAAAUAACAAUACGUGUAUUGAAGUUUUAAAUUUUGUUUAAAAAAUAUUUAUAUUUUUUUUAUAUAUAUUAAAUUGAUCUCAAAUGCAUAUCGUAGAGAGUAGUUUUCAUAAAAAUAUUUAAAGUGAGGGUUCUUUGUUUGUUUGUUUUAUUUUUACUCAAAUUUUAAAACAAGUUAUUUUAUUUAGAACUACUUUUUUAACUUAUCAUAUUUUUUAAGACAAUUUUAAAUUUUUUUUUUAUAUUCUUUUAUGGUAAGAUAUGUAUAUCAUAAGAUAUCAUAUCUCAUUGGAUAAAAAGUACAUGUUUUAAAACAUAUAAUUUCCAAUGAGAUAUAUUAUUCUUGAAUAUACAUAUUUUAUGAACAUAAUAUUGUACGAUAGCAUAUCCAAUGAGAUAUGGUAUUUAAUUUUUGAAAUGAUUAAAAAAGGUAAUAUGAAAUAUAUAUUACUUUCAAUAUUUAAAAUAAAAAUUAUAUCACAUCCAAUAUUUUUUUAUUUUAAAAAAUGAAAUUUCUCUUAUAUUUAGUAAUAUUUGUGAUUAAAAUAUUUUAAAUUUAUAAGUAAUUUUUUUAUUAUGUUAUUAAAUAUAUAAAAAUAAUUCAUAUAUUAUAUAUGAUUAUUAUUUUAUAAAUAUUUUUUAAAAAAUCCUUUUUUAACCAUAAAUUUAAUUUAUAAAAAAAAUUAUUUUGUGAAAUAAGUAUAUAAAAAAAUAAAAAAAUAAAUUUAUCAUAUAUAAGAUAUGCAUAUCAUAUAUCUUAGUAUGAGAUUAAUAUAUUUCAUGUAGAAUUGAAUAAAAGAAAAAAGUGAAUAAUAUAUCUCCCCACUUAUCUUAUCUCAUGUUUGGAUAAGAUAAAUGAUGAAAUAACUUAUCUUAUAAAAGAUCAAUCAAACAUGUUAUAAUAUUUUAUUUUUUAUCCUAUUUGAUGUUAUAUCCGGCCAACCAAACACGACUUUAUUUUCAUUUUUUUUUUCAAUUCUAAACUUUAAUACUGUGAUCAAACUUUUUAUACAAAAUUAAACUAAAUCUAUUUUUGAAAGUUUUAGAUAACUUCUUUUUUUUUUUUUUUUUGAAACUAGUUAAACUACCUUAAUGUAAUAUAAUUUGAAUAAAGAAAUGAAUUAAACAACAUAUAUAAGAAUGAACUAAACUUUUUUUUUUUUUUUUUUUUUUAUGAGUCAAGUGUUUGCUUUAAACUUUUUUUUAGAAUCAAGUUGUUUAAUCCUCUUAUGCAAAACCCAUUUCUUACUCAAUUAUAAGGAACAAUAUGAAAUAAUAAAAUAAGAAUAACCUGCAAAUAAUAAAAUAAGAAUUAACUAUUUUUUUUUUCUUGGGUCAAGUUUUUUACUUUAUUUAAGACAGUUUUUGUUUUAAACUUUGCUUUUACACUCAAUUUGAGUUGAGCUCAAACCAAGGUUUGAAUAAUCCGGUAUAAUCCAAACUUGAUUUAAUAUUUUUUGAUAUUUAUAAUGCAUUUAUGUUAUAUUCAUUUUCUUUUCAUAUUUUUUUAAAAAAUAUUAAAUUAUAUUAUUUCAUAUACUUUUUCAUUUUUUUAGAAAUAUGUACAAAUUUAUUUUUUACUUUUUUUUUGCUAUAUUGAAACUUUUUUUUUUUUAAUUUACUAAUUAAAUUUUCAUAUAAAUAUAUAAAAAAAAAAUGUAAAACAUUAUCAUGGAUUUUGAAUUAUGCAAUUCCAUCAACUUGUUUAUAUAUAUGAAUAUAAGGUAGCAAACCAAUCAAAUAAAUCCUCUAAACAAUCACAAACCCCAAAGAAAAUCCAACAAAAAUAGAAGAAGAAGAAAGAAACCUAGCUAAGUGCUGGAGACAAAGGAAAAAAAUCAUAAGUAUAUUUCAAAUUAAAAGAACUAUUAAUAUUAAUAUUAUUUUGUAGAGAAUCGUAUUAUGUUUUAAUGGGAAGAGUGAAGAGAAAAGGGCUGGGUUCCUUGGCCCAGAAAACCCUUGCAAGCUUAUGACCUGGGUUGGGUUUCAAAAUUGGGCCUUCAUGAAGGAUUCAGCACAGAAGGUUUUGGGCUCACCGAUGAUGCGGGUGUAAGAUAAAUCAUAAUUAAUGUAUGAUUAUUGAUUUAUUUUAUUUUUUUAAGCAAGUUCAAAAUCAUUGAAUUGGAUAGAAAUUUGCUAGCCCCGUUUGGAUUAACAUAAAAUGCUAGGAAAAAUAAAAGUUAGGAAAUAAAUUUAAAUUUUUAAAUUGGAUUUUUCAUGAAAAAUGUGAAAUAAAAUAAAAUGGAAAAUACGAUAAAAUUUAUAAAAAUUUUCAAAGUCUUCUUUCCAUUUUAUAAAAGAGAAAUAAAUUUGAAGAUUUGUUUUAUAGCUCUAAAUGUAAAAAGGGAAUAGAGGUGUUGAAAUGGUAAUAAUAAAAACCUACAAAAGUUUUCAAUAAAGUAAUUUUUUCUAUACCACUGACUUUAAAAAAAUAAUAAGAAGAAAUAUUUGGAACUAAAAUAAAAAAUAUAUAUAUAUUUCCAAUUUUAAAGGUUUAUUUUCAAAUUUGAUAAAUAUAUUUUCAAAGUUUUGCUGCUUUUAAUAUUUUAUUUCUUUAGUAAUAAACAAUUUUUAUGAGAAAACUUGUACAAAGCAAGAAUAAAAAUAUAAAAAAUUUACAAAAUAUUGGUAGUUGGAUUUUAUGAAGAUUUCGAAAAAUAUUAUAUAAAAAAUCCUAAAUAAUUCUGAUGUGAUCAAAAUUGGCCACAACCCAUAACAAGAAAGGAAAAUCCUCAAUUUUCUUUUCAAUCCUAAACUUCAUAUACUCGAAUCGAAUUUUUCAUACAAAGUUAAACUAAAUAUAUUUUUGGAAAUUUUAAUUAACUCUUGUUUUAGAAACCAGUUAAACUACCUUCAUGUAGUACAAUUUAAAUAAAAAAAUGAAUUUACCAUAAAUUAAUGAAACUAUCUUCUCAAAAAUUUAAUAUGACUAAAAUAAAUUUUGUUUUUAUCUAUUUUCUCACUUUUUUUUCAAGAAAAUUUAGAUCUAAAACUUUCCCAUGAAAUGAUAACUCAAAAACCACACCAACAAUAUAAAAGUGGAAUCAAUAUAUAUAAAAUAAAUCCACAAAUUUCAAAAUCAUAAAACCAAAAUUCUAUGUUUUUUAAUAAAAUUUUACCUUAACGAAAUAGUGAUUUUUUUUUUUUUUUGCCUUAAUAACAAAGUUAUUUUUUUAUACAAAAAUAAACUAAAUUUGUUUUUGAAAAUUUUAGAUCACUCUCGUAUAAAAAACUAGUUAAACUACUUCAAUAUUAUACAACUUGAAUAAAUGUGUAUACAAGUGCAUAUAUAUUGUAAAUAUAAAGGAAAAAACGCAAUAUACAACAAAUUUCAUGAAAGAUAGUAGGAUUUAAAGAAUUAAAAUAUGUCAUACCAUAUGAAAACAUUGAAUGCUAGAUUUUUAAAAAGUUCAAUUUAACAAAAUAUAAGUUUAAUAUAAAAUUUCAUCACAAAAUCCAUAAAAACAAACUUCUUAGAAUUUUACAUUUAGGUUUUAGUUCCAAAUUCUACCUAGGCAUAAGUACUUAUAUGUGUUGUUGAUAUAAAUGUCUCUUUGUGCCAUCUCCAAAGUUCCAACUUUUCAUGUUCGUCAUUAUCUCUUCCUCGCCUAAAAAAACCCUAAUAAAUUAAGUAAAAAUUUUUUAUUCACUAAUUACCAUCAUUUUCAUUGUCAAUAUCAAAACCAUCGAAAUGGAAAUUCUCUGAUAUUCAUUAUAAGAAUAAAUUUAUUUAACUUCCACUUUGGCCUUUGACAACAUGAAUAUAGCUUUCAUGUAGGAUUAUCUUUACUCUUUCUCCUAUUAUGAUCAAUUUCUAACCAUUUUGUAUAUAUUUCCUUUAACAAAAUACUUUUGCUAAAAAUUAUGAAAAAUAGCUAAAAGUGUAAAUAUCAUUUUAUCAAGCAUUGGAUGAUGUAUCAUAUAUGUUUCAUAAGAUACACUUAAAAUAAGAUAGGGGUUGCUAAGCGCCUCGUAUCAUGUAUCCUAAGUUUUUAACAACUAUGAUCUAGAUAAAGUUUGAUCCAUAUGCUGAAUGGUGAAGUCAAUGUAAAUAUAACAAAUACAAGAACAUUGAUGCCAAAGGUGACCUCUGAAAUGAAAUACUCACGGGUGGAUAGCAUCAGGAGCACGCCUUGAGCUACUCAGACCAUAUGCAAGAAGAGCCUACAUUGUGAAUAUGUAUUAGUUUCUCUGCAUUCAAUAACUACAAAAUCAACACAAAUGUAAAACAAGAGUAAAAGAUAAGAAUGUCAGGAAGAUGAACAAUCAGACUAACAGGAGUACCUGAUUUGCAAAAUCUGCGGCUGAGUGCACAACUUCAGCCAACAUAACAUGGCUAGAGGUUGUUAACCAGACCCCAAACUUGAGAGAAAAGACGAGGAAGUUACACCAUAAUGCAGUUCUGACUGCUCGUUGGCUAGAAUAAACAUGUUAGGCAGACACAAAAGAAAACAAAAAAGGUCAGAUGGUGAAAAGUGGGAGCUAAAUUUCUGGUCCCUAAUUGCAAAAAAGGCUCAAAAUUCUUGAUAGGUUUGGAUUCAGUGCAGUUCAUUAAUAUGCAGCUUGGAUUGACGUCAUCCACAAUCACUCCACUUCCUAAGAAAGUCACCCAUAAAAUCACACUAGAGGAGAGAAUCAAGAAACAAAGGAAUCAAAAGAACGAAAAGCUUUCUCUUUCAUGACUGCUUGCAUCAACUAGUUAAUUUACUCUUUUCUUGUAUUAAAUCAAAGAUAAUGUUACAGAAGAUUAAGAAUUUCCAAAACCAUAAAUAUACACACUCCUAAAGGUUUUGUAGCCUAUUUCUGUGAACUGGGACAUUCCAACUAACCCCAUUUUCAUUUUCGGGUUGCUAUAAAAUAGUGCCCCAAAAUAAAACAUUCCCAUAAAUCUUGCCUUACUUUCCCAAAACCAAAAUACAUGUACUCCGACUCUUAUUUGCAAGUCAACCACACAAAUGCUCACAUGAUCAAUCAACAAACCAACUUACAGCCCCAAAAAUGGCCAGAAAACAACUCAAUUUACCUGUCCUAUAGUAAGCCCUUAACAUAUUCAUUAUACUAAUUGUAUUUUUAUUAUAAUAUUAUAAAUCAAUAUCAAUUUUAACUUAGUUUUAUGUUGUUUGGUUGUGAAUGAGAAAUUUGCCCGAAAGAAAAUUAAAUUUAUUAGGCAUGACCUAAAAACAAAGAAUAAAAUCCAUUUUAUCCCCUCAACCUUUUGUGUCUCAUACACUUUGUCCCACAUUCAAAAUCCAACACCCUUCAAACUUCUUAAUGGGUAGCACUCAACUUUUUUUUUUUUGGAUAAUUUUUAUUUUCAUUAAAUGGAUGUGCUCCACAUGUGAUGCAAUAAGAGGGUAAAAAUGUCAUUUAAAAGAUAUCCAUGGCCCUAUAAUCUAUUCCUUCAUUUUUCUUUCUUUGAAAACCUUGAAAUCCUCAAGUCUAAAAAAAACACACCUCCUUUUAAUCGAUCUUCCUAUUAUGCUAAGACAAUGAGUCUAGUACAUUAUAUGUUGGCAAUUUUGUUUCAAUAUAUUCUGGCUUAUGAAAAUUUUUAAAUAGUGACUUACUCUUCAUUGAAGAUUCAAGGUUGUUGUUGGUUAAACCAUAAAUCUACAUGUAAGUUUAAAAAUGUUUAUUUAGUGGCAAGUUAAAUGAUUAAAGGGUUAAAGUGGAUUGAUAUUUUUUUUAUAAGCUAAAAAUACUUGAAUUAAUGUUUUGGAAAAAACAAGAGACACUCGAGCAGUGGAACCAACACUCAAGUUCACAAGGCGUUCGAGCGAUGGUUAAGUGCAUUCAAGUGGUUGUCCCAAAUCUGCUAGAAUAUGGUAGAUUUCUUUUCGAAAUUUUAUAAGUAUUCUUUUUUGGAAAUUCUAUAUAUCGAUCCCUUAGGCCUGUAGGCCUAUAUAAACCCUCUAUUAACCCCUUUUAGGGUUAGACACCUUGAAAGAGUUGACCAACUUAACCUAUCAUUCCUAAUCUUUCAAGAAAAAAUUCAUAAUAUUGAAUUUCGGGUUGUUGGAAGAACUUGCAUCCCCUUAGAGGUUGAGAAGAAUCUACUAGAGCAUUAGAGGCGUUAUGUUGUGGAUGUGGAUCAAGGUAUAGGUGCUAGAGAAUAAGUUUUUAAGGUAAAAUGGUCAAGUAAAUCUAUGUACUUUGAUCUGAAAUAGUGGAUUGUAUAUUAAAGGUCUUAGACCUCAUGGUUUUUAUUUCGACAGUUAGUGUUAGGUUUUUCCACAUAAAAAUUAUUAUGUCUCUUGUUUGAUAUUUGAUUACUUUGAUUAUCCCUAAUAUCUUCAAGUUUUAUUUUGGGUUAAUUUUUCAUCGCUUAUAUUGUAUUAUUUAAAAACACCUAUUCCCUCCUCUCCCAUCUCAGGUGUUAUCCUAUUGGACAAAAGGUUUUUCAAUUGGUAUUAAAACAAGCUUUUCUAAAUAAAAACCAUAUUUUUAUUGAUCUUGCAAGUCCAAUAUGGAACAACCAAGGUCUGAAGCUCCCCUAAAUAGUCCACCCUAUUUCGAUGGGAGUAAUUAUCCCAACUAAAAGGCUUGAAUGAUUUUUUGAAAAUGCAAGGAGAAAAGGUCUAGAAUGCAACGAAAUAUGGAUGAAGACUUCAUUGAAACUAGAUGUGAAUGGGAAAUCUAUUGAUGAAUUAAAACCCAAAAAAGAAUGGCAUAAAUUAGAUAAUGAAGAAAGUGAUGCCAAUGCUCAGGUUCUCUUUAGCAUAUUCAAUAAGGUAAGUCAUAAUGAGUUUUGCAAGAUAGCCACUUGUAAAGAUGCUAAAAAAGCCUAGGACAUUCUCCAGGUUACUCAUGAAGGCACUUUAGUUGUGAGGUUGGCUAAAUUGCAAAUGUUAACCUUCAAGUUUGAAAGCAUUAAAAUGCAAGAGAAUCAAACUUUCUUUGCAUUCUAUGCUGAAUUAAGUGACAUUGUGAACUUCUUUUUUUAACUUAAGAGAACAAAUCCCUGACUUUAAAAUAAGUAGAAAAAUCCUGAGAUCCCUUCCUAAAAGGUUUAGACCUAAGGUCACCACAAUAGAGGAAAACAAGGAUACUUACUCUAUGAGGGUUGAUGAACUUGUUGGUUUUUUUCAAAUCUAUGAAAUGACCUUUCUAAACUCUCACAAGCCUAAAGAUUCUACUUUUAAGGAUAAUGAAAUUGAAGAAAAAGAGUCUGAAAAUCAUAAUGAGAUAAUUAGGGAUGAACUAGCGCUCAUGGCUAAACGCAUUAAAUGGGUUUGAAACUUAACAAUAGACCUAAUAAGAACAAGGACUUGGGAAAGGAAAAAAGAUUUGGUAGGUCUUCUAAAGAAAAAGAUAAGGAAGUUACGAAAGAGAAAAAAGGUAAAGUGUUUUAAUUAUGGAGGUUUGGAACAUUUUUCUAUUGACUAUGUCCUAGUCUCAAUGACAUUAAAAAAAAAUUGUGCAGGCUACAUGGAGCGACACUUACUCUGUUGAGAGUGACCCUAUGACUUUUGAAGAUGUAAGGUAUGAGCAAAAUGAUUAUUUAAAUUUUAUUGCAUCUGUUGACUCUAAGCAUGAUACUAAUAGUCAUGAGAGUGAGUAUACUAAUGAAUAGAAUGCUAGUUUUCUUAGAAAUAUUUCCAUUGAAUAUCAAAAACUGAUUGAACAAUAUUUGAAGACUCAUAAUAUUCUUAACUCAUAAAAAGCUAAAAUUGAAUAUUUUUAGUGAAAAAAGACUAAUUAUUUUGCGAAAAUUUGAUUCGUUGAGUUUGAAUAUCAUUCUUUUCUUGAGAAAAACAAUAUUCUAACUUUAAAAAUUGAGACUAAAAAACCAUCAAUAAGGCUUUUCACCUUGGGACUAGUGUUGGAUGAAAUUCUUGAGAAAUGCAAGUCCCAAGGAGAUAAGAAAGGCCUCGACUAUAUUAGCAAAACCAAGACUUCCACAAGUGGAGACAUAGUAUUAGUUAAAGGUAAGGAGGAAACUCCUAACCAAGAAACAUCUUCUAGCACUCUCUCACUAUUCACACACUGUAAGAAGUCUGAAUAUACUCAAAGUAGGUGUCACACUAGAUUUCUUGAGAGCUAUGAGUCUCAAUUGAAUAGGCUUGUGAAUGAGUUUAAAUCUUUAAAGAAUAAUAUUUUGAACACUAUGAGAGGGAAGAAAACCAAUACAGAGCUUAAGACUCAACAAAGCUCCUCUAAGUCACCACCUAAAACAAGUGUGGAUGAGAAAAGAUAGGCUUAAGUGUUGGAUUGUUUUCACAACCCUUAGAGCUAAAGCCCUUAGUGAAGCUCUAGGCAUAUGAUAGGUGAUAAGUCUUUCGUCACCUCUCUUAAGGAUUUUAAUGGAGGAAACAUCACCUUUAGGGAUAGUAGUGCAGCCCGUGUGAGAGGUAAAAGUAGUAUCUCUAUCCCCAUAUGCCUAGAUUUAGAUGGAGUCCUUUAUGCUAAUGAACUUAAGGGUAAUCUUCUUAGCAUUAGCCAAAUUUAUGAUAGUGACUAUAGGGUAAACUUCUUUUGAAGUUUGUGUGAAGUGAUAAACAAGGAAGGAGAAGUCAUUUUCAUUAUGCUUAGAACAGUGGAUAAUUGCUAUGCAAUAAAUUCUAGUUCUAAAACCUCUUUGGUUUGUAGUAGGGCUAAGUUUGAUAUCAUUGAGUCAUGGCAUAGGAGGCUAGAUCACAUAAACUAUAGACACUUGGUCCACAUAACUAACAAAGACCCAGUUAGAGGUAUCCCUAAGUUGAGUAGUCAACCUAAAUCUAUUUGUGGAAAGUGCCUAAAAGGUAAACAAGUAAAAAACUCACACAAAAAUAUUAAAGGGAAUAACACUUCUAGGCCUUUAAGCCUUCUCCACAUGGAUCUCAUGGACCCUAUAUGAAAAUGGAGAGUAAAAGAUGUCAUUGAUUUUUCCAAAUAUUCCUUUGUAAGUUUUCUAAAGGACGAAUUUGAAACAUUGAGCACUUGAAGUCCUUGUGCACUAGAAUUCAGGUGGAAAUAGGUAAUCCUAUUGUUAGGAUUAGGAGUGAUAGUGGGAAAGAGUUUGAAAAUGUAGAAGUUGAUCUCUUUUAUGAAUUAAAUGAGAUUAAACAUAAUAUUUUGCCUUUAGAACUCCUCAACAAAAUGGAGUGGUAGAAAGGAAGAAUUGUGUUCUUUAAGAAAUGACCUGAGUAAUGAUUAACAUGCAUGAUACUUCUAUGCAGUUUUGGACUGAAAUAAUUAACAUGACUUGCUAUACUGCUAAUAAGGUUUUCCUUAGGCAUGGAACAAAGAAAACAUCCUAUAAAUUGUGGAUUGGAACAAAGAAAACAUCAUAUGAAUUAGGGAUUGGCAGUGAGUGCUAUAUUCUCAAGGAUAGAGAAAAACCUAGGUAAAUUUGAUUCUAAGUCUAAUUUGGGUAUUUUCCUAUGUUAUUCCAAUAAAAGUAAAACUUAUAAGGUUUAUAAUUAGAAUACUAAAGUUACCCAAGAAUCUUCAAAUGUAGUCAUCAAUGAUUUUGGAUAUGAUUAGGAAGUCAUUGACUUUGAAAGUUUAACCUAAAAAUCAAUUGGGAAUAACCUCGAAAAAGUUGACUUAGAUGAUAGUCUUAAAAGUAUCCUAAAGAGGCAAUUGACCCCAACAGGGAUGAAAACCACUUGAAAUUGCUAAGUUAGGCAAAGUGGAAAGUAAACAUAAAUCCAGAGUACCCAAAAAUUACCAUAUCUCAAAUGUAAUAGGAAACAUGGAUGAUUCCAUGGUUACAAGGAGACAAUCUAGACAGAAUGAUAUAUAUAUAUAUAUAUAUAUAUUUGUUAUACCUCCUAAUUAGACCUAAAGAAUGUAGAAGAAGCCUUAGGAGAUAAAUCAUGGACUACUACACUAUAGAAAGAAUUAAAUCAAUUUGUUAGGAAGAAUGUGUGGUACUUAGUCCCUAGGCUUAAAGACAAACCUAUAAUAGGCACAAAAUGGAUAUAUAAGAAUAAAAAAGAUGAAAAUGGGUUCAUUGUGAAGAAUAAACUAGGCUAGUAGCCCAAGGAUAUUCCCAAAUUGAGGGGAUUGAUUUUGAGAAAACUUUUGCACCUUUAACUGGGUUAGAAUCUAUUAAAAUCCUCCUAGAUAUUGCAUGCUCAUUGAGAAUGAAACUUUUUCAAAUGGAUGUUAAAAGUGUCUUCCUAAAUGGGAUUCUUAACGAAGAAAUCUAUGUUGAACAAUCUAAGGGCUUUGCAGGUCCUAAACUUCCCAAUUAUGUUUAUUGGUUAAAGAAAACCCUCUUUGGAUUAGAACAAGCUCCUAGAGCUAGGUAUGAGAGGCUUACAACUUACCUUUUGGAAAAAGGGUUUGAGAGAAUGAGAGUUGAUAUAACUUUUUUUCAUUUAUAGGUCUAAGUCUAAAUUAUUAAUGACUCAAAUUUAUGUUGAUGGUAUAGUUUUUAGAGUCACCCUUACCCUUAACUUUGUUGUGGAUAUGAAAAAAGAGUUCGAAAUGAAUAUGGUAGGUGAACUCAAUUUCUUUCAAGGACUACAGAUUAGACAACUUAAAGAUGAUAUCUUUCUAUCUUAGUCUAAAUAUGUUAAGGAGUUAGUAAAGAAAUUUGGACUUGAGUCCACUAAACACUUUAAGAUACCCAUGAGCACCACUACUAAGCUUUGUAAGAACACUUUUGGGAAGGAUGUUGAGAAAAAGCUUUAUAGGAGUAUGAUAGGGAGUUUGUUAUAUCUUACUGCAAGUUGUCAGGGCAUCUCCUUUAGUGUGGGAGUUUGUGCUAGGUACUAAGAAAAUUCCAAAGAGUCACACUUAACUUUUGUUAAAAGAAUCAUUCAUUACAUUAGUGGGACUUUGGAUUAUGGGCUAUGAUGUCCUUAUGAUUCCUCUUGUGUUAUUAUUGGAUAUUUCAAUAUUGAUUGGGUCGAAAAUGUAGAGGAUAGGAAAAACACUUUUGGGGCUUACUUAUUUAUUGGGGAUUGUUUAGUCACUUGGCUAAGUAGAAACAAAAUUUAAUUUCUUUAUCCACCACACAAACGAAAUAUAUGGUCAUAGGAAAUUGUUGUACCUAACUCCUUUGGAUGAAACAGAUGCUCGGUGACUAUGACAUUGAGUAAGGCACUAUGAGUAUCCAUUGUGGCAAUCUAGUGCUAUUAACAUUUCAAAAAUUUUUGUUCUUUAUUCUUGAACUAAAAAUAUAGACAUCUGUCAUCAUUCUAUUAUGGAUUUAGUUGAAGAUAAAGUCAUUUCUCUAGAGUUUGUCUCAAUGAAACAUCAAUUGGCAGAUAUUUUCACUAAACGCUUGGAUUCUCUUAGGUUUGAAUUCCUUAAGAAGUCAUUGGGUAUAUGACUAAUUGACUAAAAGUCAAAAGGGUAUAGACCUAAGGAUUUGUGUUUUUUAUCUAUCUUCUUUCCUUUGGUCAAUCCCAUCUUCCUCUUAGAGCACUGGUCUUAUACCCUUUUUCAUUUGCCUCAUUAGUAAGAAUUUCAAUCUCUCAAGUUUUAAGUCUGAGUGAAAUAUACUAAACCUACAAGGGUUGAUUUUAUUUUCCCUAGAAUUUUUUUAAUUACUUUUGAGGUAAAGAAUCAAGGUAUAUACAAAUCUUUGUAUAGUGGGAUAUCUAAAAGGAAAUAAUUGGCAAGUGAUCCAUGAGGAAUAUUCUUAAGUUUAACUAAUAAAAUAGAAUUUGUUUUUUUCUUUGGAAGUAAUAUCAUGCCUAAUUCUUUUUCAUUCACUUGCCUUGUUUGUCUAAGUUCAGUAUUAUUUUUCCCCAAAGUGUCUUAAGGCAUUCUUGGAUUCUUAGUUAAAAUAAACUAAAAUAUUCUUUCCAAGAUUCUUUCCAAGUUUAUAUACUUUCACUUGCAACAUUUGGAAACACCGUCCUAAGUGGAAUAAGACAACCAUAGUGAAAGUAUGAUUUCCAUAAAUGGUGUACAAUGUGCUUAUUUUCAACUUAUAUGCUUUGAUUGUUAUCAAUAUGAUUUCCAAACUAAGAUCAUGAUUAACCUUGUUCUUUAGAUUUGAAAAUAUCAGUCUUGUUUGGUUGAACUAUGUUUUUUGGGCAUUCAAUUUGUUUUAUUACUUUUCUUUCUAAUUUUGUGAGUUAUUUGAUUUGAAUUUUGCCUUAAGUUGAAUGUUUGACCUGUUUCUAAGGUUUUUACAUGUCUCUAUGUUGUUAGUUGGUUUCUUAAUUUGUUUUAUUAGUUCACUUUUAGCGUUCAUAAUCCUUCUAGAGUUUUUCACAUAGCCUCGAGCGUUUAUCCCAACGCUCAAGCAUUGGCUUCAUUGCUUAAGCGCUCAAGUGGCCUAAGUUGUUUCUAGUGUCGCUUCAUGUGGUUGUAUUACUCAAGUACUCCUUAAGUUACAUCCAAUGCUUGCAUUGCUCAAGUUCUAAUCUUGCAUCCAAUAGCCUGAGCAACUAUUUAAGUCCUUCUAGCCAAGGAUGAAAAUAUCGGUAAUCAUGGAUAUAUCAGUACUUUGAUUUUACGGAUAUAUCAUAAAUAUUGGUGGAUAUUUUUCACAAAUAUUGAUGGAGCAAAAAUUAUUCAAAAUUCAUAAGAAUUCUUGGAAAAACUCCAAAAAAUGAUAAAAUAAGCAAGAAUACACAUUUAAAAGUUAUUUUGUAGGUAUAAUUGACAUAGAUAUGAUCAAGAAGAAAAACAUCGGUAGGCAGAAAUAUAUCGGUAGAUUCGAUACUUGGAUUUUAAGAAUAAUAAAUAUGAAUUUUGGAAGUGUAUAAAGUUAGAAUUGAGUUAAGAAAUAUUUGAUUUUAUUAAAUAAAAACAAUUUAUGCAUAAAUAUAAUACAUAUGUCAUUGCAAUAGUCCUUAGUACCAAAAUGAAGAUCAAUGUGGUUCCAUCAUAUUAUUAGAUGACAGGAGCCCAUCUUGUUGAAGACAAUAUUUAUUUUAAAAUUUUUAAAAUACUUUUAUUAAAACAUGUUUUAUUACAUUUUAAAUGCAAAAUUAAAUUAAUUUAUAUAAAAUAUUUUAUUUGAGAUUUAAUUUCUAAAAUUUUAUUAAAAAUAUGUGAUAACAACUUUUUCUCUUAACAUUAAUUUAUUUAAAUAAUUAAAAUUAUUAAUAAUUUAUCUUAUCAAAUUAAUUUUAAUUUAUAAAAUAUUAGGACUUUCUUAAUUUUUUAUAUUAUAUCAAUUUUUUUGGGUAAAAUUAUAUUUUUAAUAUUUUAAAAUAAAAACAUUUAAAAUUUAAAUAAAAUUGAAAGGAUAAAUGUAAAAAAAAAAAUUAAGAGUGAAGUGAAUUAAGAGUGAAGUGAUAAUAAUUUUUAAAAAUAGGAUUAAUGAGAUAACUAUGAAAAGUGUUGAAAAUAAAAGGAUAAUAUAAAAACAUGGUUGAAAUUUGGACCAUCUAAAAAAUUCAAAUCUAGAAAUUUUCAAAAGAAACCCCAAAAAAUCUCUGAUUUUUCAAAGAUUUUUUUCCGUUCUCCCUCGUGUUGCUCCACUCGUGAUUUUAUCGCCGAUCUAUCGGUUCCAAACCGAUAUAUCGCCGAUAUUUUGACGAUUUUCACGAUAUUUUUCUAACAUUCCUCUCGUUCGAUAAUCAGUGCUCAAAAUCGUUUUGGGGCCAUCCGAUAUCCGAAAUAUCGGCGAAAUAUCGCCGAUAAAAAUCAAAAUUUCAAUCCAUGCUCCUAGCACACCUUUUUUAAUCUAUUUCACUUCUUUAGUUCAUUUGAGCACUUUGGGUUGCUGCUUUUCGGCUUCCAGUGAUCUGUUCAUGACUUGUUUCAUCUUUUCAUCUUCAUAGUAUUGUUUAAGACUGCUUUUUGAGCAUUUCUAAUGGUUUAUUUUCCUCAUAUAUUUUUCUCUAUUUUCGAGCUUUUUUACUUUUAGUUUUUGUAUGAUAGGACGCUAUUGUCUUAGGGAGGUGUCUUCUCUGAAGCCUUACUCUCACGAAGUUGUUCAGGGCAUCCCUAUCUAGGGUCUUUUUGACUUGAAUAAUCUUCCCUUGGAGCAUUUUCACUCUAAGGAGGCUCAAGAUAAAUACUACUCUAUUCUCCGGGGUCAUCGAGUCAAAGUAGAGCUACCCAUUGAUCAUAGAGCCUUUAAGGACACCUCUUUCUUGGUUUCUUCCAUGUUAGGGGCUUGGAAACUCUUACGACUGUUUGAGAGACCUCGUAUCCUCAUUACAUUCAGAUGUUCAAUUCAAACAUCCAUUCAGUAGUUUGUGGUCUCAUAUUUAGUGUUACCAUGUAUGGCUAGACUUUCAUGGUCUCUACUUGAUCUAUCAGGUGUGUUAUGGGCAUGUUUUUUUCUUACUAAUCAGCUAGCUUUUAGUCUUCUUUCCAGAGGUUUAAGCAUUCACUAGAGGUGAGCUUGUCUCUAUUCCUGUUACUUUGUAUGGCGAGUCCUAUCCAUUGUCGACUUACGUUUCCAUUGCUAACUUCACCAAGUUAGCUUGGGUCCUCGCUAUGUUUAUGUCUUAUUCCUUCUACUCCUCCUUCCAUCGUACUCAAAUUUGUCACCUUGUGGCUUGUUUUAUUCAGAACAUUCUCUUUGGGUAGUAGUUCGACAUUGCCUAGGUGAUCCUUAACACCAUGACAUCAUAACCCGAUCCCACCAUGUGCAAUGGAGCUCCCUUAUUCACCCUUCUUAUUACUAUGAUUCUGGAGCACAUCAGUUUCAAUUUCGAUCUUGCUUUGGUAGCUUGGGUGUCUCGCACUCUCAUUACUGCGAGUUCCUAAGUCAAGCACUAUAGCCAUGUGUACGGUCGAUAAUCCCUCUGGCCUCAGCUCAAUCAACCUCCAUUCUACUAACUUCAAUGUCAUAAGAGGUGGCUCAAGAGACUGCAAUAGAGAAGGAGGAGAUUAAGCCAACGGAGUAGGAUUCUCCCAUUUUAAAGGUGGUUUCAAGAUGGGGAAUAGGGCCCUUGUUUUCACCCGUCUCCAAUUUUGGAUCUUUAACAUUUGUUGACCUCAACCCUAAUUAUUUCUUCCAAUCUAUGCCCCAGUGAUUACUACUCAAAAAGUGCUAUUUGAUAGCCUAUAAUUAAUCCUUUUUAACACUUUUGAGUAGUAGUUUAGGCCUUUUAACUCAAUUGGCAUGUUAAGGAUCCUUUAAAGCAAUUUUGAUCACUUUGUGUAAGUUUUGGUGUUUUUGUUAGUAUAUUGAUCACCAAAGCAAGUCAAGAAUGAGGAGAGCUAUGAGGAAUCUUGGGCAAAGCUUAGAAUUCAAUUGCCAAGAGUGAAUCCGGAUUGCAAGGAGAAAAAGCAAAGAGAAUCUGCCAUGAAGCCUAUUCUUGAUGACAGUUGUAGCAGCCACUUUUGGAGCACUUUCUGAAGUCCAAAUGAUGCAUGCUAUAUACCAUUUCAAAGCUCAGGAAGUCAACAAUCCAAUGCUUCAAACGGUGCGCAAUUCGGAGUUGAAACGAAGAAGUUGCAGCCAUUACAAGUCAAUCACUCUAAAGUGUUGCGGAAUCAGCCAUUUGUUGCGAGAAUUUCGCAGCACUUUUGUACAGUAAGGUGUUUCUCCUUCUGACGAUGCACGAACCAUGCCGCGAGAAGGGAGCUGGAAACCUCAAGGUGGAAGCCAACUUCGCAGCCCUGUGAAGAUAGCUCGGUCUUGCAAAAUAAUUUCGCAGCCCUCUUGGGUGUCUGCGAAAUUUCGCAGACACCACUUUUCUCCUGCAAAAUGGUUCCUGAAGCCUUCCGAAAGUUGCUACCGACAUUGGGAGAUAUUUUCCAUUAGAUUUUUGUUGUCUAAAUCCCAAAAUACUCCUUGUAAACCACCAAUUACAUGAUUCCUUAGUUUUUAAGUUAGUAAAAAGACCAAAUAUCUUUGUAAUAAUUAGUUUUAUAUUGGUUUGAUAUAUAUGCCUCUCGGGAGCCUAUUCUCGGGGAGGAGUUCCUUCUGUAAACGUUUGGUAAGCUAGUAAAGUCUAUUUUCUUUCUACUGCCUUACCUUCUCACUUUGUAUUUUCAUUUUAUUUCUAAGUUAUGAAUUCUCUGAGGAGUUUUCCCCAGAGAAUGAGUAACUAAACCUCCAAUUCCUUGGAGCUAAGGUUGCCGGGGAAGGUUCCAAGUGCAAGAAUGCAAAGCUCUGUGGUUUUAGCUAGUAAUGAAGAGGAAGUGAAAACCUUUAGUGAUUUCAAUGUUUUUAGUUAACUUAAAACACCUUGGAGUCACCUGGGCCAACACUUGGUAAGGCAAGUGAUUUCCAACCAUGGAAAUGCACUAGUUUACCCCUUGCGAGCCUCUGGUAGGUGACUUCAAGGUAGGAUUUUCUGGAAUUACCAACACUUGGUAAGCUUUUGGACUCCUAGGAGACAUCCAUUAGUUAUCUCUUGCGAGUUUGUGAAGGGAAGUCCAAGGUUAAAGAUCACCUUGAAUGGUAAGUGCUCGUGAGAGGCAUGAACCAUUGCAAAUUGCAUCAGUGAGAGAAUUAAAGUGAAAUCUAAUUGAAGGAGUCUCUGUACAUCACCGGUUAGAGAAUUGACUAUAAGUUGAAUCUCUAAUGCGAGGAAAUGAACCAACUGACCAGAGCCGUGUCUUUUGCAUGAGGAACCACCCCAGUGAACCUAAAUCUCCAAGGAAUGUUUUUCUUCCUAAAUUAUUCCAAACUUCUGUUAAGUUAGUUAGUUUAAGUCUCAACCUUUACCAAUCAAAAUUUUGUGUUUUAUUUCUUAAGUUAACCGUGAAAUGAAACAAGACCAAUUCACUUGGAAUUGGUAUCCUUGAUUGCUUGUUAGUCAUUCCCAGUGAACGACCCUAGAGCCACUAUACUAUAGUAGCUUUGUAUUUGCUACCCUAGUGUAUGGUGUUAUAGGUAUAAAUUUUGUUGAUCACUUUCUCAAUCAAGGAGCACCAGCUGAACACAAAUCAGCUGAGACACCAAUUGGGCACGAGUCACCCCAUUACAAGCAUUUUUUGUUAUCUCCUUAUCUCCAUUUUAUGGUGGGCUUGGUCUAGCACAAAUAGGUUGGUGAGUUAGUUAAGGUUUGUCUUGGAGGCCUGAAUAGACCAGACAUGAGCCUAGUUUUUUAUAACACCUACUAGUGGUGGGCCUUUGGCUCUUCUAAUGUAAGCUCCAAGGCUUCAUUGACAUAACAAAUGAUCAGGCAAAACCAUUUUACAUUUUUUAUUGUUAGCUAUUAUAUUUUUACUUUUAACCAUAAGUAAGGACAAAGGGGCUAGGUUCCUUAGCCUAAAAAACCCUUGUAUUCAAGCUUAUGACCUAGGCUCGGGUUUCAAAAUUGGGCCUUCCAACCAAGAAGAAUUUGGGCUUAGGGCGUUAGAUAAAUCAUAAUUAAUGUAUGAUUGUUGAUUUAUUUCUUUUAAGCAAGUUCAAAAUCAUUGAAUGUGAAAGAAAUUUAUUAGACUUGUGUGGAUUAACAGAAAAUGUUAGGAAAAAUAAAAGUGAAGAAAUGAAUUUAAAUUUUUAAAUUGGAUUUUUCAUGAAAAAUGUGAAGAAAAAUAAUAAAAUAUAAUAUAAAUACCAUAAAAAUUUUCAAUUUUCAAAGUUUUCGUUCCUUUUAUAAAAGAAAUAAAUAAAUUUGGAGAUUUGUUUUAUAGCUCUAAAUGUGAAAAGGGAAUAGAGGUGUUGAAAUGGUAAUCAAUAAAAACCUACAAAAUUUUCAAUAAAGUAAUUUACAAAAUAAGAAUAAAAAUAUAAAAAAUUUACAAAAUAUUGGUAGUUUGAUUUUAUGAAAAUAUCGAAAAAUAUUAUAUAAAAAUUCCUAAAAAAUUUUGAUGCAAUCAAAAUUGGCCAAAACCCAUAACAAGAAAGGAAAACCCACCUUUUUCUUUUCAAUCCUAAACUUCAAAUACUCAAAUUCAAUUUUUCACACAAAAUUAAACUAAAUAUAUUUUUAGAAAAUUUAAAUAACUCUUGUUUUAGAAACUAGUUAAACUACCUUCAUGUAGUAUAAUUUAAAUUAAAAAAAUGAAUUUACCAUAAAUUAAUUAAAUUAUCAUUCUCAAAAAUUUAAUAUGACUAAAAUAAAUUUUGUUUUUUUUUUCUAUUUUUUCCCUUCUUUUUCAAGAAAAUUUAGAUCUAAAACUUUCCCAUGAAAUGAUAACUCAUAAACCACACCAACAAUACAAAAGUGGAAUCAAUAUAUAUAAAAUAAAUCCACAAAUUUCAAAAUCAUAAAACCAAAAUUCUAUCAUAUUUAACUACUAUUUUGAACUCUAAUUUCAAGGUUUUUAAUAAAAUCUUACCUCAAUGAAAUAGUGAUUUUUUUAAUUUUUUUUUCUUUAAUAAAAAAGUUGUUUUUUCCUCAGUUAUCUUUUUCCAUCUUCAACUUUAUUAUAAUACUCAAAUCUAAUUUUUUUUAUACAAAAUUAAACUAAAUUUAUUUUUGAAAAUUUUAUAUCACUUUUGUAUAAAAAAACUACUUAAACUACUUUAAUAUUAUAUAACUUGAAUAAAAAAAAUGAAUUUAUAAUUAACAAAGAUAUAAUAAAAAUAAAUAAAUAUGACUUAAAUAAAUUUUAUUUUUAUUUAUAUUUAUUGACAAAACCAUAACCUUUCAAUAGCCUGAUUGUGCUGGACCAAGCCCAUCUUAAAGUGGGAGUGUAACAGUAAGGAGAUAAUAAGAAAUGCCUGCUACUCGACCAAUAAGGAUAUAAUAAGAAAAAUUAUUGGUCUUUGACACUACUUUGAAAGUUUAUUUUGGGUUUUUUUUAGUCCUUUUUAGAGUGUAGGAUCAGUUAAAAUUUUUUUUUGCAUGGAUUGAAUCUUUGUUGUGCUCUUAAUUCAUGCAAGAGAAUGACAUCUUGUGGGAUGAGAAUUCUUUGAUCCCUAAAUUUUUUAUAUCACAAGCAACCAACAAACAAAUUCCAUACACCAAUGUUUUAAAAAUGUGACCAACCAAUCAAAUUAGUUGGCUCUACUUGGUUUGGAUACGAUCUUGACGAUUGGUAAAUUGGUGGAACCAACUAGGUUUGGAACCAGUCUUGAUUUUUUUCCAUUUAGGUUAGACAAAAAUUUUGGAAAAAAUCAAUAAAUAGAGAUGAUGUUGAAAUUUUAAUAAAAUUUAUCAUUUAUAUUUAUGUUCAACUAUUUUUCGUUAUGAUAUAGUUAUAGAAUGUAGUUGCAAACUAGAAGAAUAUAGUUGGAGGAAUGGUGUAUGCUCUAGUGGAUGGUGUCUCAAACUCAAUUCCCAUGGAUAGAGAAGUAAGAGUUAGAGACACAACAAAUGGAAUUGGCACUAAAACGGGUUUUGAAUUUGAUUGAGAAAUAACUAAUCUCAUGAUAGAUAAAGGAACGACUGUGCUAAGAAGAAAUUGGGUUUUGUUGCUGUUCUUUGUAGGUUGAUGAGUUCUUUGGUCUAACAUGUGUGAUUUUCUCACUUUUGAAACUUCAUUUUUGGUUUUGAUCCAUUUUAGAGAAGAUAUGUGAGACAAUCCAAAAUGGGGUUACAUUGUCUCUUGCUUUUGGCUGUUGUUAUCAUUUGUUGCAUUCAUAUGGUAGAAUGAUGAUUGUUAACUAAAACUUCUAUGACCAAGUUUGAAUUUGAUACAUGGGUGGAGCUUAUUUGUUUAAAUAUUCAUGUUUUGGUGAAUACAAGUCAUUUUAAUUGAGCAAAAAAUACAUAUAAUGUAGAAGAUGGAUAAAAUUAAGUUAUAUACUUAUAGAAAAUUAAGAUUUUAAGACUCUUCAAUUUAAUAAAAGUUUUUUUGUACUAAGGAUUAUGGGUUAUGCAUUCAAUUUUGGGUAGAAGGAAAAUACUAUCCAAACAAGGCCUACAUAUAAUCUAGAGCUUUCCCAUCCCUAGGAAGCUUAGGGAAUGGAUUAGAUUAAAUAAGUUAGCUCAAAAGUGAUGUAAAAUGUGGGUAUGUUGUAUAAAAACACACAUAUAUAUAUAUAUUUUCUUCUUGUUUUUCACCAUUCAAAAAGUUAUGAUUUGCUUAAUUUGAUUGAAAAAAAAAAAUCAUACUACUUUUUUUUUUUCCCAAUUAUAAAUUUUAGCCACUUUUUGUGAAAAUUAACCAAAAUUCUGUAGACACCAAAAAGAGGGGAAAAUGUCAUAGAUUUAGGUUAAUAAAGAAAUAUAGUUGGGAUAAAUAAUUAAAAUAUCUUACAUUGGACGAUCAUCAUAUCCCACUCAAAUUUAAUAAGGUAGUGGAAACAUAACUAAUAAAUAUAUUUUCAAAGAGAAUUUGAAAAUUUGAAAUUGGGAAUUUCUUCUAUUCAUUUUUAAUAAUUUUUAGGGGCUACUAUAAAUUUUAUCCACAAAGGGAUAACGUACUCUUUUUUUAGUAGUUAAACAAGCUAUAACCUUUGAGAAUCACUAUUGAUCUUAAUAAAGGUCCUUUUUAUAUUAAGAAAUUUCUCUUUGAAUAAAUUAAAAGAGAAAUUUUGCCUUUUAUUGCAAUUGUAAUGACAUUCACUUUCAAAGCUUGUAAUUAUACAUAGAGCAUAUAAAGAUCUACAAACAAAAUUUAUUACCUUCGCAGGUGAUCUUUGGCAUAGGUUGCUCUUCCUCUCAACAACCAUUUGACAAUUUUAUCCACAAAAUCAAAGUAGGUCUCACUCCAAGAUUUCCUUGUUGCCAAAACAAAAUAUGGAACUAAAAUACCCAUCGCAAAUCCCAAGCCAACACUCAAGUAAAACCAUUGAUCAAUAUAGCCACCAUCAUUUUUGUCCUCAAUAACACUACACUUUUUAUCUAGAUCUUCAUCUUGGCAUUUUGUGACCAAUGGAGCUCCACAAAGAUUAGGGUUUCCAACAAAGGCUAACUCAUUGAAGGUUGUCAUUUGCCCUAUAAAGGGGAUCUUACCAGAGAAAUUAUUAUUCGAUAGAUUCAAAUAACUCAAGAAUGUUAAUGAAACCAUGCUUGAAGGAAUGCUGCCGGAAAGCUUAUUCCUUGACAAAUCAAGAGAUAAUAAUUGGUGCAACAUUGAAAUGUUUUCAGGAAUUUGGCCACUGAUGUGAUUCCCAGACAAGUUCAAAACCACCAAACCAAACAAUCUUGUUAUUUCUUGGGGAAGCUCUCCACUUAAAUUAUUGUCGGAUAGGUCUAUGCCUACAACCAGAGAAAGAGUCCUGGUGUAUUCAAGACUUUGACCUUUCAUAAUCACCACCAAUCGUUCUUCAUACUGAGAGUUGCUCACAUUUUCAUACAAAGGAUAUAUAUUCUUGUUAUACUCCGGAACCAUGGCUUUAAGCUCAAACAAAGUGACUGGAAUUUCACCCAUCAGAUUGUUGUGUGCAAGGUCUAAGACAUGUAGGGAGCUUAAAUUUGAAAGCUGGGAGGGAAGUCUUCCAAAAAAUACAUUUGACCUCAAGUUGAGUAUUACAAGAUUUAUGAAAGCAAUUCCAAUCCAUGAAGGAACCUUACCCGAUAACUGGUUAUAACUGAGAUCAAGGAGUUCUAACCUUGAUAAAUUUUGGAAAGACGAGAGGAGCUCUCCUGAAAGCUUGUUGUCGUUCAGAUGCAAUGAUUUGAGCCAUUGUAACUGGCCCAAGGACUUUGGUAUCAUCCCAGAUAAAUUGUUAUUUCCAAGGUCAAGAACAAUUAGGCUAGAGCAAUUACCUAUGGUAUAAGGAAUGCUUCCAAUCAAAUUAUUCCUUGAAAAAUCAAUGACUUGAAGAGAGGUGAUGUGUCCUAUGGAAUCUGGGAUGGUCCCUGUUAUUUGAUUUUUCGAAAGCAAAAGGUGAUGCAUGUCUAACAUAGAUUCACCUUUGCUCAGUAGGAUAGGGCCAGAAAAUUUAUUGUAGGAGAGAUCUAGUGAAUAGACCCCUUUGAUUGAAAAAGGAAUAGGUCCCUCAAAGAGGUUGUGACUGAAAUCAAUAUAUGCAGAUUGAAAUUUUAAUGAAUUUGGUAGCUGACCUUGUAACUGAUUGUGAGAAAGAUUUAAGUACUGCAGAUUGAAAGAAAUAUUCCAAAACCACUUGGGUA
rnacentral:lncRNA from 1 species